CAGUCGCGAGCAUCGCAUUAUUACAGAACACGACGGGAAUCCUGGAUCCCACUAACAAGAUAUAUGUGCCACGACUGUUCCUUAUAUUCUAUUUCGUUUCACUGCUUCAUGGGCUGCAUGUGAAUCUCACACUCUGCAAUGGUCUCACCUGCGCCGCAUCACAGAGUGACACAUUCGAUCGAACUGUGGUUGGAGUGCCAGAACAAUUGGGCAGGUCAUAGAAAAGUGCAGCUUGGCCUAAGUAUGUGAAGCGAUAGAAGAGUGGAGUGGCCACACAUACCGCCGUGCAAGGAUUGGGCUGGGCCGUGUAGCUCACUCCUGGGUCUUGGCAACCCGGGAGCACGUAAACAUCGAGCUUGCUGUUUCCAUCAACUUGAGGAAUUGAGAUAGCUUCCAUUGUAAUCACCACCAACACUGCUGCCAUGAUCUUCAAGAGCUUGAGUGCCUGAUAAAAGGCAAAGAGACGUUAAUAGGUUUAGUACUUUGCAAAGUGUAAGCCUGACCAUUUCUCCAAGGAUGAACUAUAAUUGAAGAACGGGACUUCUCUUUUUAUAUGAGGUCGCGAUUAGUUUCUGAUCAUGAUCGUGCAGUGCAGUGCAGCACACGCACUCGAGGAUUAUAAAAUUACACCACACGCUACAUACACGUAUAAUGAGUUGGACACGUUAAGCACAAAAUAGAAAAUAAUCCUCGCGAAACGCAUGUUCUUCUGCAAGACCCAGCUAGAUCAUGAUCAUGGAUCCAAAUUGAUAUAAAUUAUGAUCAUCCACGCAACCCACGAGCACUUCAACCUCCUAUAAAAAGGGAACACUAGUUCUUCAACUCCCAUCCUAUUCAAGCAUUGUGUUACUGAGGAGCAAUGGUUCAUAGAAUUGUUUCUUUGAUUCAUCUGUUGUCAAGCUAAGCGUUGUCCAAUUUUUAUGCGCAGGAAGUAGUUCCUCUCUGCAAGUUGUCGCUGCUGCUGUCUAUGAUUGGCGCUUUGCUCAUAUGCAUUGAAGGAAACAGUACCCUGGAUGUUUAUCUACUGGGCUGCCAGGAUCCAGGAGUAAGCUUCAGAGCAGGAACACCAGGUCCUACAUGCUCCAAUUUGUGCGUGCCUGCCAUUCCGGCUGGUUAUAGAUUCACGUUUGAUGGACAGUUUGGUCUCCUCUUUAGCCAGCCCAACUGCAUGGGCUCAACUACAGGCUUGAAUUCCAGCCAGGAAGUUUGUGCAGUCGGGAGCUCCAGCCCAAUCAAGUCUUUCAAGUUUGUAUGUGCCUAGACAAGCUCAGCAUGGAGUUGGGAUUUUAAAUUUUAACUAUUCUUCACAUAAAUAGAAUUUAAAUUUUUUAACCAGUCCAGAUUCCCUAAGUCAAUAGUACAAUCCUAUUAUUCUUAACCUUGUGGCUAAUACAGACAUAUUCAACUUUGACUUUUUGUAUAAGAUUAUCAAAUCUCUUUUUAUUGGGACACAUAUUUCCUAAUUGUCAACCCUUUUAAAGGAUAGUUUUUAGAAUUUUGAUCUUUUUAUUUUUUAUAUGCUUCAUAAGCAUGUUCAGCGACACCAAACAAAAAUGCACUCCCAUUAACAAGUUCUAGCAGUUGUGCCAAAGCUCUAAAUCUUAAUUUGCUUAUGCAUCUAACAUCUAAAUAAUCAUUACUGAGGUAAGUUAUAUAGUUUGCUUUCAUUUUUGUACCAACUGUCACAUGCCCAAAAAAGGGCUUAUAAGUAAACAAGGCAUAGCAACAAUCAGUUCAUCCAAAUUUCUAUAGUGAAUAAUUUUGCAAAAUGGAGUUAUAGAGUAUAAGAUGUGCACUGUCAUGGAAGCAGCACACACUAUGAUGAGAGAGAAAAACAUCUCAUCUAGUUUUUUGGGGGAAGCAAUUCACACUCUGUUGGAGGUCCCACACCUUUUGAGUUGUGGACAGAAUGAAGUCCAAACCUUAGCCAUCUCCAUUGUUGGAAACCAAAUGAAAGAUACCUCUUACAAUACCAAGCUAACAAUGCUACAUUGCUAGAUGACUCGUCCACAUUACAAGAAGCUCUAGAGAAACCUGAUUCAGAGCAGUGGACAACAGCAAUGGUUGAUAAGUUCAAAUCCUUGUAAUGUGGUUCUAAAAUCAACACUGAUGGGUCCAUCUUUAGAUUUAAAGCUUGCUUGGUCGAUGAAGCAUUCUGCCAGAAGAAGGGAGUUGGAGUUUUUUUCUCUUGUGCGGCUAAACUGCUUCCUUGGGUGUAAUACUUUCUAUUGCCUAUGCUUGGGACCUAGAGGUUCAUGCCAUGGAUGUCAAGAGCACAUUGAACUGAUUUACAUGGAACAACCUCCAGGCUUUGACGAGAAAUGCUACAUUCUUCAUCAAUGGACUCACAUAGAUUUACAUUUCGUUUCUUCACGCUUCCUUAUACAUGGCAUUUUCUCACAAAGUGGUGUGAUCUUUGUCAUGAUCAUUAUAUCUCUAGUGCGUCAUCUUCAUCAAGUACGUAGAUAAAAGCUCCAGCUGUGGGUCAGAUGACCAAGCACAGUGCCACACUGCGACACAACUGUUCUUCAGUCUCUCAACGUGGGAGAGUUACAGUGGUUUCAUAUCUGGGAGGGCUUAGCUUUGUUUGUAGUAGACACACCAAAGAACGAGUUGUGUGCAUCUUGUGGAUGCUGGAGAGGACUCUUGUGCUGCUGGUGAUUCUGGUGAUGGAGCGACAGCGGUAUUCGACGAGCCCUCACCCGGCCUGGAACUGGAAUUCAAAAGUGAUUGCCGCGGGGCUUUGAUUACUCCGUGACGUGGGAGUUGCUUUGGGUUUUCAAGGAAUCUUAGUGGCAUUGCAGGACUCCUACGUCAAUUUGCGAGAGAGAAAGAGAGAGAGGCUCCUCGUCAUUCCCUGCUGAUCCCAGGAUCUCAGGGAGAGAGAGAGAGAGAGAGAGGGCUACAAACGUUCGUCUCGUAAUUCCAAAAGAGUUUGGCGUCUAUCUACAAGCGGCAAAGAGCAACGAAGAUGCCCUCCACAAUGAGAGCUGCGAGCUCUCCCGGACUUCCCGUGGCUCCUGCGCGCGUGAGAACAGAGAGAUACUGUCCAUGUCUCGCCGGCGGAACACUACUCAAAUCCUCCGCAUUCGCCGAGGCCCGCGUGAGUAAGGACCGCCACUCCUCCCUACCGAUCAAACUCGCCUCGCCCAAGUGCCGCUCUGUCGGGCCAACAUCCAGCAGCAGCGUAAGGGGGAAGUGGAGGCCAGUGACUCCCGAGACCAGGUACGUGAGCAGCAGUCGUCCAAGCCGUCCAUUCCCAUCACCGAAGGGAUGGAUCGCCUGGAACUCCAAGAAGAAGCCCGCUGCCAAUUUGGCCACGUCCACCACGAAUGCAGCACUUCCCAUCUCCCUCGCGUAGUACACGUUCUCCAGCUCGCUGUUGGUGGCGGCCACUAGCAGCUCCAUCUCCUCCCUGAUCAUCUCCGGUGCCACUCUCUCGCUCGACAAUGUGCCAUCCAGCUGCUUUAUCCAAGCUCGCUGGAUCCGAUAGUCACCUAUCCGCACAUCCUCCUCUGUCGGACUCGCGACAACCACCGUGUGGAGCUUCUUGAUCCUCCAGAUGGAGAGGUGGGGCACGGGCACUCGGCUGCUCAGCUCCUUAUCUUUCGAGAUCCAAUCCUUAAUAUCUUCCAGCCCGUUGCAAAAGCUCACAAGCCGCCGCUUCUUGUCCUCGUCCACGUAAAAGCCUCCAUCGCCGUCGCUUGCUCCAAUCGCCACCGCCGUCUCGGCUACAGCCUCCAUUCCUACAUAAGACCAAUGUUAAAAGGCCUUUAAUCUUUUCCUAGCUAGCUUUUUACCUGCAUUCAUCUCCCACACCCGCUUAGAUCACUAGACUUCUCUGGAGCAGCGCUGCCCCGUCUUUCCUUGUCCAUGCGUCGUGAAUCGCCCGUCGCAGCAGCAGCGCCUCUACACCCUACCUAUCACGAACAGCGCGAGCAUCGCACGAUCUUGCUCCGGCGGCAGCGGCUGCGCGAUCUUCGUCGAUAUAGCAUCAGCCAUGGCGUCAGUGGUGAGAUCGCUCCAGCGCCAAGCCGGACGAAGCGGGACCCGAAACCCUAGCGCCAUCACUACUAGCACAAAAGAAGAAUACUACAAGCCCCGCCCUUUUAUACCCUCUUCCUUCCAGAAUAUUCUCUAGCUCUAGGGUUCUUCCGUGGGAGAAGCGCGGGAAAUGCAGCCGGGGCGAUCGAUCACGCCAGCCGCGACAUCGCGAAUCCGGCCGCAUUCGCUAGGUCCGGAAAUAUUCCUCGCGGAUUGGAGCUCGAGGCACUGGCGAAUAUGGCCGUCCGGGUGGAGCUCGCAGAUGGGGCGAAGCUCCAACGCUCUUCCCGCAAAGGUCGGGGCUGCGAUCUCUCAUUUCUUCUCUUCAAGCUUCUCAUAGCUUUUUCGUAUGUUUUUUUUUCCUUUCUUUGUUUGCUUUAGCUUCCGCCAGGCAUUGAGAUGGCUAUCGAUGCCACAGGAACUCCACUUUUUGGAGAUUGUUGUUUUUCUGGUGCGUUGAUAAGCUUUCAACCUAUAGAUUCUUUCCAAUGACAGGUUCUCUCUUCUUCUUUAUAGAAUCCAAUACGUUACUGCUCGCGUCGCCAAGAUAUUGUUCAUCUUGUGUGGCUGCUAGCUCGAUGCUUGUCUCAGUGGACGUCUACGCUCUCCAAAGGUACAUGGCGCGAACAUCCUCACUGUUGUGGAUAAGCCACUCAAGGGCGUCACGCCACUGGAGAUCCAUCUCCUGUUGCUUAACUUUUUUCGUUCUCUAUGCCAAGGUAAGUCUCUGCGGCUUUAGCCUUCACUGAGAGUGUUGUCUUCCAGGUGAGCUGGAUCAUCAUCAAUCCUACACGUUUGUGGAGCUUCCAUCCCCGCCGCCACGAAAAACUUCUUCCAGCCGACAUAGAGGCCUUCGGUGUAGAUGGCAAUGAGUCGGCCGGGAUCUCGGGUCUCUGAAGACGAUGCGUGCUGCCCCUCCUCCUGAAAGCAGCUGCGGUACAAGCCAUAGUCAACAAUGUCUUCACUGUCCACCAGGUACGCAUUGUUGGGGGCCAGCUGAGGUGUGAUGCUGGAGAGGAGAUAGGUGAGCAGGAGCCUUCCGACCCGUCCGUUUCCGUCUCGAAACGGAUGAAUAAGCUCGAAGUUGAGGAAGAAAUCGACUGCCAGGUGCAAGAGCUUAGCAGUAAAGGUUGCAAGAUCUUCUUGCUCGGUGCAGAAGACGUCGUCCAGCUUGGUGUUGGUGUCGAGGAUAAAGCACACAGUCGGCGGUACUCCAGUGCAGGGCGUGACUGCCGUCGGUAAAGCUUUUUGUGUCCUUUUUUNNNNNNNNNNNNNNNNNNNNNNNNNNNNNNNNNNNNNNNNNNNNNNNNNNNNNNNNNNNNNNNNNNNNNNNNNNNNNNNNNNNNNNNNNNNNNNNNNNNNAUCCCCUCCAUCAUCGCGGUCUGGAAGAGGACUUGUGGAGCCUCUGGAUGGCCGAUAUCGUCAAAACUGGCUGCCGGGACUCGCCAGCAGCUUGCUCCCCAGGCGAUAGGCGUCGUGCAGGUUGACGGUGACAAUGAAAUCCUCCUCGUGUUGCUGCUGCGCGUCUCCUCGAGUAACUGCAUCAAUGACGGCCCGCGUCUGAGGGAUGGAAUCGUAGCCUUCGCCGUUGAUGGUGUUGACUUGGUACACGAAAUCCACUAGCAUUUGCUUCCGGCAGAGGGCCGCCGCUGCCUCGUUGAUCUGUGUCGAUGAUUUGUAGAACUCGCCAAGGAAGCUCGCGAUGGCUCUUACCAGCCAGGUCGUGCUGCGCCGCACCCUCUUCCGCCACGCCGGAUGCUCAAUCGCCAUCUCUUGUGCUCUGCCCUAAGGUUUGAAAUAGGUGCAACACUUUUCUAUUUUAUAGAACGCACUACCUUUUGUUAUGAAUUUAUCCAUGUUGCUAUUCCUUUUAUAUUUAUAAGCCUUUUUUGGGCAUGUGACAGUGGUACAAAAGUACAGUGACCAUUUUGAAUUCAAACACAUAGGCAAAUUAAGAUUUAGAGCUUGCACAACUGCUUUAUUGUUUGCGUGCUUCAUAAACAUGUUGAGCAACAUUAAUAAAAAACACACCACCAUCAACAAGUUGUAGCAAUUGUGCCAAAGCUCUAAAUCUAUGCAUUUGAGUUUUAGAUGGUCUCUGGUAUAAUACAUAUUUAAUGGGAUAAUACACAACACCAAAAAUGGCUUUUUUUUUUUUCCAAAUUAAAGGCUGGUAUGUGAGGACAUGUAUUCUAAGUUUCAUAAUUUUCUCAUAAGUUAAACUUUAUAUCACCUUACACUUUAGCCAAUAUUAUAAGAUACCUUUUGUCCUUUUUUCCUUAGUCCCUUGCCCUUUUGAGAAAUACUUAAUUAGUCACCAGUCAAAAGAGAGAGAAAUUAAUCAUGUAAUGGCACUAAAGAAGAAAAUAAAUAAUUAUAUAGAAAGUCAUUAGUACUUGUAUUUAGCUCCUAAGCAUUUUAUAUCAAUCCCUAUCUCCAUCCCCAAGUUCUACCAAUAUUCCACUUUCACCUCCACUUCUUUCUUUUGUAAAGUUGAACUAGAGUUUCCUAUAUAUAAAAUUCUAGAUUUUGCUACUAGAGAGGGAUUGGCUUUAGUGCUUCAAAAGCAAUGCCACAUGUUUUUGCAAGAUUUAGCUCUUAAUAUGGCACAACUACUUGAAAGUAUAGAAUAUUAUUGUCGCAAAUGUGACUUUGGGUAUCGAAAGAUAUUUGUUGGUCAGUCCUUACAGACACUCUUUCCUUAUUGCCAUGAGGGUAGAAGGUUGGUACAGUUGAUUCCCUUUAUCAUUCUCACUUGAGCUAGUUGAGAAACUAGUCAAUGACCUUAUACUUAAAUUAGAUAAACAUAAGGUAAGAACCCUAUGUGUUUUUUGUUGAGCAUACUCGGCCUAGUUUGAGAAAUUCGUGUCAUUGUCUUGCACUUGCUAGUAUCAAGAAACCCACGUAUUGAGACUAAUCCCCAAUAUCGUUGAAUGAUAGCUUAUCGUGACUGCCAAACACCCUCGUUAUCAUGCCCUUUGUGUUGGUCUCAUUUUAGUUUUAAAUGCUAUUUAUGGAAAGUGUUUGGAUUUGUUCAUUUGGCAUAUCUAUAGAAUGUAGAGAUUGGCAUGAACACAAUGGUGUUCGUCCCGUGUCCAAAUUCGUAAUCUAGGGACAUUCCAUAUUUAAUAAGUUUCGAACUUGUCUCAGAGACUAACUCCUAGUACUAAGGGAGGCUUGUGAAAGCCCAAAGUAUGUGUUCCUCAAGGGGGGGGGGGGGGGGAAGGGGGGAUGUGGGGGGUUCCAAGUAUAUAGUAAGGAUAAUGGUUGGAAUGCAUGUGCGACUAGAUAUUAGUUUGGCUCAUGCUGGGCUGUGUCGCUCCUUGUUCUGCGUUCAGCUUGGGUCUAAGCACAAGCUCCAUGCUGCUCUAGUUGCUGGGGUACCCUUCUCGCGUUAGGCCACCGGUAUGCCAAAAUAGUGUCAGAAUUCUAUGCCAAAAUUGUGCCAGACUUCGUCUAACACCAUUUUGCAUGCAAGUGUUGGAUAUAGGGAGCUGGUGCUCAUGGGAUUGUACCAAACCCUCGUUUCGUAGAGCAACGGGCUUGGAGUUUGGCUCCAAAUUUAGGUGUGCUACAUUUGGUAUCAGAGGAAAUGUCACAACGAUUCCUAUCCAACUUUUGUCAGAUUUCCUGACUCAAGUUGCAUACGCAGAGACUUUUUUAGUAGAUCCAAAGCAACCUAUGUAAAAUUAGUUGGAUUGCACCAUUCGGUAAGAAUGUUGUAUGAAUGUUCAAUUAUUGAUAGAGGCAUGCAUGCAGCUAGCGGAAUGGUGAAACGGAACUGUGCUGAUGAUGUUGAAACCUCUAGACAGGCGAAUUGAGAGGAGGAAACUCCUGCUAGAGAUGCUUUGGAAGAGGCAAAGGCUGAGUUAGAAGAGGAAGAGCCAGAUGCUGCGGCACUGCAGCGUACGGCUCAAGAAGUCGAGAUCAAGAAUUUGCAAAGGGAGAUUCACAAAUUGAAGAAGGAGAACAAGAAGAGGAAGAAAGAAGCUGAGGCAGCUAGACUAGCUAAGCCUAAGCAGCCGGACUCUUCUUCAAGUUUUGAGGAUGAUGAAGUUCUACAAUCGCCCCCGGUUGCAUGAGUUUCAAAGUUCAAGCCUCUAAAACCAUCCAAUUUUAGCAUGCGGGACUAUCAGACUAGGUCUACGAUAUGGAAAAUUAUUUCAUAGCGGUAGACGUAGAUGAUCAUACGAAAGUUGCGUGUGUGCAAUUUUUUCUCACCGAUCAUGCCAAAACUUGGUGGUGCCAGGUAUGUGCUGAAAAAGGGCAGACCAAGAUGCGGUCUUAUAUCCAUAAGGAAUACUUGCCGGAUGAUCUUGGUCUGAGACUUCACGCAGAGCUGCGGCGGUUAAAGUAGUGAGGGGAUCUCAUGCAUUACGUUAAUGCAUUUUCUCAGAAGCACAUUAUGGUUGCAAAUAUGAGUGAUGAAGAUGCUCAGAGUUAUUUCCUAAAGGGUUUAAGUUCACUUUCUCACAAUGAGAUUUUGAAAUUUAAGCCAAAGAUGUACCUAGAGUGUAAGGAGGUAGCACAACAAGUUGCCUUUAGCCAUUCACUCAUAGAACAAUAUCAGCAGCCGUAUGCUAGUACCUCGGACAAAAAUAAGAAUUCUGGGAAUAAACAAAGUGAUCGAAAACAGAGGGUGGAAGGUAGGUUUUGCCCCGGGGGCUCAUAAGCAACGGUUAACAAAGGUGGUGGUGGUGGUUCGAGACCACCAGUAGCUUCUUCUAGUCCUAGACCCUCUAUUCCUCCUUUUGGUGGGUACAAACAGUAGCAACCUGCAAAACUUGCUCCUAGCGGAACGGAUAGUGUGGGUUAUUGCUUCCAUUGUGGAGAGUCAGGACAUAGAUCCUCGGAAUGUCCCAACAAGCAUAAGAAAAUGUCUCGUGUUAAUGUCAUGAGGGAAGACAAUGGUGGUGAAGCUGAAGGGUUGACGAGUUGGUCAAUGCAGACUAUGAGGAAAAGGAGGUGAGUUACUUUCGUUGCUUUCCUCAAGCUUUUCUGGCAGUCAAUGCAAACACUAAUCUAUUGAUGUACCUGGUAGGCUUUGUCUACAGACACCAAAUCCAAGUGAUAAUUGAUAGGAGAGCUACGCAUAGUGUGAUAUCCAAAAACUUAGUUAAGUUGUUAGGAUUGAAUGCUGAGCAAAUGUCGCCUGUGCACUUCUAGUUUGCAAAAGGUGGGCAAGUAACCAGAAAGUUUGUGAGUGAUGUUCCAAUAAAAAUAUCCAAGUGGAAAGAAAGAGUGGACAUGGUAGUGUUGAACAUACCAGAUUUUUAGAUGAUGUUUGGUAUGGAUUUCUUCAACAAAUAUAUAAAAGGGAUUUAUGGUGCUGGACAAAGUUGCAUCACAUUGAAGUUAGAAGGAUGUCCUAAUGUGUCCUUCCAGUUGCAAAAGUGCUCCUCAAAGGAUUGGGAUGCUAAGUUCCUGAUUGCGAGAGCCGCUCAAAAAGCAGCUAAGAAGGGAUGUUGGACCUUUUGGGUUCAAGUGAUGAAAGUUGAGUGUGUGGGUGACUCAAUUCGGAUCAGUGACGGGGUUGAUCCUAUACCAAAGAAGAUAUUAGAGUUGUUGGAGCGGAAUCAGGAUAUCUUCCCGAAGGAUUUGUUGCCAAGGCUACCUCCUAGCUGUGAGGUUGAUCAUCGGAUUGAGGUUAUUCUGUGUUCUAAACCACCUACAAAAGCUCCAUAUUGAUUGAGCAUCAAGGAGAUGGCUGAACUCAAAAAGCAACUCACAGAGCUUCUUGACAAAGGUUAUAUCCGACCAAGCAAGUCACCUUAUGAAGUGCCGGUCCUUUUUGUUAUGAAAAAGGAUGGAACCAUGAGGAUGUGUAUUGACUAUCGGGCACUCAACAAGAUCACAGUUAAAAACAGUUAUCCUUUGCCUCACAUUGAUGACUUAUUUGACUAACUCUUAAAGGCUAAGUAUUUUAUGCGACUUGAUUUGUGGUCCGGGUAUCAUCAGGUAUGGGUGGCGGAUCAGGAUGUGGAGAAGAUAGCCUUUAAAACUCGGUACGGAUCUUAUGAGUUCUUUGUCAUGUCGUUUGGGUUAUGAAAUGCUCUGACAACGUUCAACACUAUAAUGGAUAGAAUAUUCAGAGAUUAUUUGGACACAUUUGUUGUCCUAUAUAUCAAUGAUGUUCUACUCUUCAGUGAAAAGUUGGAGGAUCAUUUGAAACACUUGGAGUGGUGUUUCAGAAGUUGCGCAAACACAAACUGUAUACUAAGGAAACUAAAUGCGCUUUUGGACAAUUGCGUGUAAACUUUCUCAGACAUAUAGUUGGUGGUGGCGUAAUUGAGGUAGAUCCAAAGAAGGUGGAAGCGGUGAAGUCCUAGGAAGUCCCGACAAUUGUAUUAGAUGUUCGUUCCUUUCUCGGUUUGGUGGGAUACUAUUGCAAGUUUGUCUGCAAUUUUGCAAGAAUUGCUUGUCCGUUGACUGAAUUAACGAAGAAUAGUAUACUGUUUCAUUGGACACCAGCUUGUCAGCGUACUUUUGUACGAUUGAAGGAAAUCUUGACUACGGUUCCUAUUCUUAGGAUUCCAGAUCUUGAUAAAUCCUUUGAAGUGCAUUGUGAUGCAUCUGGCUAUGCUAUUGGUGCCAUGUUAUAGCAAGAUUGUGACAAAGCAGUUUGUGUUACGCUAAAGCGACAUGGUUGUCCCAUUGCAUUCUAUUCCAAGAAAUUAGAUGACACUCAACAAAGAUAGCCAACCCAUGAGAAAGAGGUGUUUGCUAUAGUGUUGGCUCUGGAACACUAGAGACACUACUUGGGUAGACAUACCAAGGUUUAUACAGAUAAUAACAUAUUGAGCUACUUUGCUACAUAGCCUAAGCUUAUGCCGAAGCAGGCCCAUUGGCAAGAGAAGCUCGCUAGAUAUGAUAUUGAAAUCAUAUAUAAACCUGGUAAAGACAAUAUUGUUUCGGAUGCAUUGAGUCGUUAGGUUCAAUUCCGGGCAAUAUCGACAUUUAGUUCGGACUGGUUGGAGGAUGUUUGGGCUUUGUAUGGAAGUGAUACAUUGGCAAAGGGAAUCUUACAGCAUGUGGAGGUGUUGAAGCAGAACCCUGUAGCGAAGCAGCAAAAGUUGCUAACCACACCAAUGCGAAGCUUCACUUCUCAGUUCGGGAUGGGCUUAUAUUCUAUAAGCAAGAAAGAUUGUAUCUUCCCUCUAAGGAUCUACAGCAGUUGUUUCUGUGGGAACAUCAUGAUGUUCCGGUAGCAGGACAAGGUGGAAAGCGAAAGACUUUGUCUUCAUUGAAAAAGGGAUUUUUCUAGUCUGGUAUGGAAGGUGAUGUAGUAGACUAUGUCCAUUCCUACCCUAUAUGCCAGCAAUGUAAGCGUAGAACUGAGAAGCAAGCUGAAAAGUUGCAGUGCAUUCCAGCAUCGGCAAGGCCAUUUCAGAGUGUGACACUUGAUUUCGUCACUUGCUUGCCAAAAUCUAAUGGUUAUGAUACUUUGAUGGUGGUUGUGGAUCGGUUGUCAAAGAUUGCAUACUUCAUUCCAACUGUGGGAAUAGUGAAUGCGAAGCAAGUAGCAAAGCUCUUUUUUCAUGAAGUAGUGCGGGUUUGUGGUCUUCCAGAAGAGAUGAUCUCGGAUAGAGAUUCGAGAUUUACGGGGAAGUUUUGGGGCACACUGUUCUAGUUGUUUGGUACUAAGUUGAAGUUUAGUACAGCUUAUCAUCUUUAAACUGAUGGGUAGACCGAACGCGUGAAUGCUCAAGUAGAGGAUUAUGUAUGGUACUAUGUCGCAGCGGACCAAUGCGAUUGGGUUGAGCAUUUAGAUACAGCAGAAAUUUGUUAUAACAACACAUUUCACAACGCUAUUGGCUGUUCUCCAUGGGAGAUGCUGCAAGGAAAUGUUUGUGGGGUGCCUCAAUAGAUUGUUGUACCGAAACCAAUGUCCGAAGUGUUGGUCCUGGCUGUUGAGACUUAUAUGGAGCAGCUACACCAAGGUUGGUCUAGAGCUACUGAGGCGAUGGGCAAAGCUUAGGAUAGGUAUCUAUAGGAUAAGGAUCAGUAUCGUUGGGAUGUAUCCUAUCAAGUGGGAGAUCAAGUGUGGUUAUCUUUUUGGAACUUAAAUAUUAAGGGCUCCUUGUCCCGAAAGCUAUUACCCAAAUAUGUUGGACCCUAUCGGGUAUUGAAGGAAGUUAGAGAUAUACCCUAUAAGUUGGAUCUUCCAAAUGAGUUGUCCCAUGUACAUGAUGUGUUUCAUAUCAAUUUAUUAGCACCAUAUCAUGUUGAUGCAGAUCACUCUAUGGACGUUCAUCCCCCUCCGGAAGUUGUGCAUGGUGACCUUGAGUAUGAGGUCGAGGUGAUUCUCUUGUCCUACAAAGCUUGUGGUGGUCAUUCCAAGGAAUAUCUAGUUAAGUGGAAAGGUUACCUGACUUGUGAAUCAACUUGGGAACCUUGUAAGAAUCUUGCACAUGCUCGUGAGCUUGUCAUGCAAUAUCACAAUAGUAAUAAAGACUAGCUUUUGUAAAUGUUGUAAUAAAUCUUGCAAAUAAAUAAAGUAAUAUAUUUCUAUAAAUCUCAAUUUCAUCUCUCUUGUUCGUUAGUACUUGGGUCAGUUUUGGCAGGCUGACUUCGGCACUUCGGUGCAUGGGUCCAAUCCAUAACCAUGGGGAUAACUAUUAUAGACUGAUCACAAGUCCCCGCCUCUCUCUCGAUGACUCAUUUUAAAAAAGGGGCGUGGUCGUGUCUGCAGCUCAAUGCCUUUUGAAGGCUCUUGGGUGAAGGCUUUCAGAGGCACUUCCAGGAAAAUCUCCCCCUUAAUCAACUUAAUUUUCCAGUUCAUUAUAGUUGUUUAAAUUUUCUUGACGGGGUUGAUUUCUUGCUCAAGGGAAGUUGGGCCUUUGGCCUUCUCCAUAUGUCUCUACGGGUAGGGAUGUAUCAUUCCUUUGUAAGCCGAGUGGUACUCGAAGUAGCAAGGGUGGCUAACUUCGUUAGUCAUUUCCUUGUCAGCGACGGCCGGAGGGUGUCUGAGUCUUAACGUCUUUGGACGUAAAGGAGAGGUUGUUCCAUAACUCAUUUAAGUCGGUGCGUUUCCCAUAUAGUGUGCUUUCCAUUAACUUUUGGAGUUAUUUCCUUGACGGUUUGCUAGACUCGGGUAUGCAUCAACGAGGAUGUCAAUCUUCCCCAAGAGGGGGAGAGUGUCGCAAAUGUGACUUUGGGUAUUGAAAGAUAUUUGUCGGCCAGUCUUUACAAACACUUUUUCCUUACUACCAUGAUGGCAGAAGGUCGGUACAGUUAGUUCCCUUUAUCAUUCCCACUUGAGCUAGUCAAGAAACUAGUCAAUGACCUUGUACUUAAAUUGGAUAAACAUAAGGUAGGAACCUUAUAUGUUUCUUAUUGAGCAUACUUGGCCUAGUUUGAGAAACUCCUGUCAUUAUCUUGCACUUGCUAGUAUCAAGAACCCCCACAUAUUGAGACUAAUCCCUCAAUAUCGCUGAAUGAUAGCUUACCGUGUCUGCCAAAAACCCUCAUUAUCAUGCCUUUUGUGUUGGUCUCCAAAUGCUAUUUAUGGAAAGUAUCUGGGUUUACUCAUUUGGCAUAUUUAUAGAAUAUAGAGAUUGGCAUAAACACAAUGGUGUUCGUCCUAUGUCCAAAUUUGCAAUCUAGAAACAUUCUAUAUUUAGUAAGUUUUGAACUUGUCCCAAAGACUAAGGGAGGCUUGGGGUGAAAGCCCAAAGUCUGUGUUUCUCAGGGGCCGGGGGGGGGAGGGGGCCGGAGGGUUGUGAGAGGUUCCAAAUGUAUAGUAGGGAUAGUGGUUGGAAUGCAUAUGCGACCAUUUGAGACAUUAGUUUGGCUUCCACUGGGUUGUGUCACUCCUUGUUCUGUGUCGAGCUUGGGUAUAAGCCCAAGCUCCACGCUGCUCUAGUUGUUGGGGUACCCUCCUCCUCGCGUUAGGCCACUGGUAUGCCAAAAUUGUGCUAGACUCCGUCUAACACCAUUUUGCAUGCAGGUGCUAGAUAUAGAGAGCUAGUGCUUGUGGGAUUGUAUCGGACCCUUGUUUUGUAGUGUAACGAGCUUGGAGUUCGGCUCCAAAUUCAUGUGCACUACAACUAUUAUAUUCAGUGUCUAAUAUGCUACUUUAUUUUGGAUAAAACAAAGAGCUCUAUAAGAAACUCAUCUACAACUCUGAACCAUGUUUAGAUGACUGUCUUUAAGGAUUUGAUUGCAAACACCUUACUUAAUUUAGGCUGCCAAAAGACUCAAUUAAAUAAGGUUAGCUUGUAGGACUUAUUACAAGGAGUAUAGCCUACUAUUAGCUUGUGGAGAUACAUUCAUUAUAUGUUACAAUAAUAUCUUUUUCUUAUAUUAUAUUGUUUAGGGUAAAAUCUUGGAUGUGUGGAUCUCAAAAGGGGAAGUUGCAAUUAAAAAUUAACUCCAUCCUUAAAUUGAAAUAAACUUGUCUAUAUGAGUUCAUCCACAAAAGUUUAUUUCUAAACCAAGUUGUGAAUAAGUAGGAGCACCCCUUCAUCUUCAAGAUGUGUACAAUAGGCCCUACUUCUAGUGUUUGGGUCCAAUGACCUUGCAAAUGCAUGGGUACAUUUUAACCAUAUGGAGCGUAUAUUAAGUUGGACAACCAUAGGAGCUUAUGUGCAUGAUCUAAGGUAAUUUUUAUUCUCAUUAUAUUGAAAUAGUUGUAAUAUUUAUUUUUUCACAGACUACAUUGUAACUUGACAAUUGCGAUAGUAAAGUUUAAAGUACAAGACUAGGCAAUCCAAGAAAUAUUUUGGAAGUCCCUCUCUAAUAUUAUACUAAAGUGGAUUGCUAAGCUUGCAAAUUUUUGUGGUUUAAUGGUAGAUAGGGCUCGUGCAACUGAAAUAAUGUCUAAACAAGUUUUGGGAAUGGUUAACCAUUGGAAAGUCAUGAAAGGACUUAUGAGUUUCAUUAGGCUCAAAGUGAGUGGUUGGGGUGGUGGGAAGUUAGGAUAUUCUAGUGGGGACAUCACUCUCUUUAGGUUGGUUUCUAUUUUUUCUCCUUAUUUUAUUGCUUUUUUAUAUAGCCUUUUCCAUUAGGAUAAAACCACUUGAGGACCUCGCAUAUAGCCCAAUUGUGAACCUCUCGGAAAGUAAGCAUUAGAGUUGGCAUUCCUUUGAGGCAAGAAAAGGGAAGAUGAAUCUAUAUGAAGCCUAUCUAUCAAAUUUGCUACACACUAUAGAGCAGUCUUCAAAAUCAUUAGCAUUCAAGGAAGGAAGAUACAUGAGAACACCUUUUAUUGAGAUAUUAUAUGAUAGGUUGAAGAAAAAAUUAACUCCAAUUGCCCAAACAAUAGCAAUUAGUUGAGGAAGUGGUCCACAACACAUACUCCCCGGGCUUUUAUUGUGAUAUGAAAUUGUUUGCUCAAAGUGUCACUUUUCCUUUGUUGGUAAAGUUUUUAGCACGGACCUUGGAGCAAAAAGCUCUCAUAGGCUUAAUAUUGAUAUCAUUCUACUCCAAGAUACCACCCUCAGACCAAACCACCUUAAAUGGAUAAUGAAAAGAGUGUUGUAAGCAAUUAAAUUAUCCAUUCUACUUUAAUCACUUAACCCCACAUUUGACCACUUGGAAGAGUCUCACUCACAACCUCUAUAAGUCUUAUUCCUGACUUGGGGAUAUACUAGCCACUAUGAAUGGCAUUUAUGACACUCAGCCUUUGCACUUGGUUCAAGUGCUCCACGUGUCUAAUCCCAUUAUAGACACCCAAAGUUACUAUUGACAUAUCAACUCAUUACACUAAGGCUAUGUCCAUUCACCUUUUUUUCAUUAGUAAUCCAAGACCACCCAUAUCAUAAACCUAUUUCCCAAAGACUAAGCUAUCUGUCCAUGAAUGGCUAUCUCUUGACCACACUUGAGACAUAAGGAACACCUCUCCCCAAUAUCCUUCCAUUAGUCCCUACCAAGUCUCAUUUGUCCACAAUAGUACUUACUAACAUUGCCAUUGAGUGAAGGCCCAAAUGCCCAACCACUAAUUUCUAUUGAUAUCUAAGACUUCCUCACCACGUGACGAUGCCCUUACUCAUGACACAAGAAGAUUAUUCCUAUUCUUUUCCACAAUCUAAGACUUGGGAUGACAUUUCAAAACACCAUAGCCCUAUGUGAGCUCCAAAUAGGUAGUGCCACCUACACUUGGAUUGGGAGCAUCAUCCAUUUGAUCUCCCGAGGAAACUAAAUCAGGUUCUUGAACACUUCACCAAGUUACCCCAUUUGUUUAUUCGUGUUCACUUUAGCCUUGAACUCCUUAAUGGUUAUAUUAUCACCCACCACGUAGGUAUAGCCUUCCUUGGUCACACUAGCCUUUCCUAGCUAAACUGGCUCCAUUGGAGUCUUCCCCCUACUAUACUUUUGGAGCUCACCAAACCCCCUAGGGUCUAGGAGACAAUUGCUUUGGGCUUUCACCUUUGGACUCGAACUCCGAUUCCGACUCAAACUCAAACUUAAACUUGGACUUGGACUCAGACUUAGUCUCGGUCUCAGUUUCAGUUUCGGACUCGGUUUUAGUCUUGGUCUCAGUCUUAGUUUUAAUCUCAGUCUUAGUCUAAGUCUUGGUCUUAACCUUGGACUCCAUCUCAGGUCCAUUUUGAGCUCAACCUUAGACUCCAUAUUGGGUCCAUCUCAAACUUCAUCUUGGAUCCAUCUUAGGUCCAUAUCAGACUCCAUCUUGGACUCCAUCUUGGGUCCAUCUCAGGUCUAUAUCGGACUCCAUCACGGAUUCCUUCUCAGACUCCUUCUCGGACUCCAUCUCAAACUCCUCGAACUCCUUUUCGGACUCAUUCCUAACACUUCUAUAUGUCAUGACACUCACUAUAUGUCCGUCCUUCUUGUGUCCCUUUUUAGAGACUCCUUCACCGAUUUUUUUAUGCUCAUUCCUUGAGAAUUUCCACUCAUACUCUCGACUUUCCAAGUUAGAGCUUUUGAUCCAAACAUGUUAUGCUUGUUAAACUUCCAUUUCAACUACUAUCAUAUGGCAUCUUUUCGGCUCCACUUUGGGGCUUAAAGAUUUGUGUCUCAUAAGUGCAUCACAACAAGUUGAAAUUGCUUACGAUAGCGUGGAGCCAAGACAAUGGGAAAUCCAUUGAGUGCCAACAAAAUCCAAUAUAAAAUGUGUGAAAAUGCUUCUGAGGGGCAAAUAUUAAGCUUGGAUCUGUGGUGACAACUUUGUUUCUAUUCUAACCCCAUAUUUCUAUGGGGAACAAAAGCAAGUAGGAUUUUCGAGAUAGUGCUAGCUGUAUUAUUGCAACAGCAAUACUAACCAUACAAAGUAGCUUGAAAACACUAUAGUGACUAAAUCUAAUGCAAUACCUAAAGAAUGGUUGGUUGCUAAUGGGGUUGUGCUCACCUUGGAUGAAAUUGAAAACCUUGAGAAAUUUGGUUUUAAUCUUGAGAAGAAAGUUGAAGACAUGAGUGAUAAAACCAAGAUUAUUAUAUACAGGGGGCUAACAAGAAAUUGUAAAGCAAUUAAAUUUAUUGAUACUAUCUCCAAGUAGAAACAGAGUAAAAUAAGCUUGGCUCAAAUGCUUAAAUAUAAGAUUCUCUCCAUAAAGUACAUCAUUGCACUUGCAAAAAAGUACAUAGUAAAAACAAAAGGUGGAAAGUACACAAUUGUUAUUCAAAACUUUUCUUCUUGCAAUGUCUAAACUUUACAAAGUGUGAGGAAUAUAGGAAGGUAUAUGCUCCUUGCAAGCAUAUGUACUACAUUUAUAUCAACACCUUACACCAAGAUUCUAAACUGGAGAUUCAUAUACAAUAAGCAAACUUUACUAUUUUCGAAUUGUAGAAGACUUUUAGAGUUAACUAGAUUUGGUAAAACUACCAAUGUUUAUUCUCUAUCAAUAAUAUAAAUUUAUUAGACUUUAUAUAAUUAAUAAUUAAAUAUUUUUUAAUUUCAUAUACUUGUGUGUGUUUUUUUCAAAAUACUCCCCAUAGUACUGUAAGCCACAAAUUUUUCCUUUCCAAUUUGCCAGCUUACCUCGUCUAUCCGACCAACACUGCCUUGGCUUUUGCUAAGUUCUCUCGCCAAGGUUCCCGCCUAUGGUACCAGCUCCUACUUGGUUGUACUUGGUCUUAGCUACUCACUACACAAGCAACAGAGUGUUAGCCAUCCAUCCACGGAUUCCCAAAUCUCUCCCAAUGCCCCUCUCCAGGUUAGACUGGACUUAAGGUUCAGCUACACUCCCUACAGGCACAAACAAGCUCUAUUUUGUUAAAGUGGGAAUUGUUAUUAUCCCACUUGUAAAAUAAGGUUUCCAAACCUUUAUAUAGUAUAUAAAUUUAAUAAAAUUCAACUGCAUUGAGGCACAUGCCAUUUUAUUUUAAACAAGGAAAUGUCUACUCAAUCACUUCUCCUCCCCCUGCCACUGCUUCACCUCUCUCUUCUCCUUGUCAUCGUCGUCCAAUUUCUUUCCAUCCUUUUAAUAUUGGCUUAGUUGCUCCGAGUCUAGGUGGAGCCCAAGUCCCCAUUCAAUCCUUACUUUCCCCUUAUUAAUAAAACAACUUUGUAGACUUCCAAUAACAUGCUGUAACACUUCUAGUAUAAUGCAAAUCCUCUCAAAGAAUUGUCUUUUAAUAUUAAUACAAUGGCAUGGAACCCCAUGCCAUAAUAAGUUACAUUUUUAAGUAAAUACAUGCCAUCUCAGACUGUUAUUUUUUGCCUCCAACGCCUAUACAAUAAUCUUGGAAUUUCAUCACUCUCCACACUAUCAGGAUUUAAACCCAAUAGUAAUGCCAUCUCUUCUCUAAUACGUCCACGCUCAUGUUCAGUGGUCGAAGAACCCAUCCGGUUGAGUAGAUUAUGGAGAUGCGGAUAGUGCUUGGCUAGAUAAUAUACAUGCCAUAAAUGAUGACUGGUGUCUGUCCGAUCAAAUGGCUUCUGAUAUACCGUUCCAUCUGCCAUUUGGUUGAUUUCUGCAGCCACCUCCUGGACUGGCUGGUUCUCUAUCACCAUCGCUCCAAGCCGUUUUGCAAGGUCCCCCAGAACAUACGGUUUCUUCUCCCUAGUUUCCAUACUGCAAGAGAUGGGGUGCACUGCAUAUGUGUGCGUGUUCGCUGCAGUUUUAAUCGGCGAGUCAUCGAUGAUGAGGAUUUCACUUGACCUAGCAGUCCGGUUCAUCACUACAGCCUCUGGCUUGAUGAAGAUGGGCUUGCUACCCCUCACAUGGACCAUAGUCAAGCAAUCCUCCUACGUUAGGAGAAAGUCAAAUGGUAAUAUUACUCGCAUCUGAUCGUGCAUCAUCUGUAGCAACGUUAAUGCAUUGUGGCGCAUCAUGGAUGUCCAAACUCCCAAUUGCAAAUUGAACCCGGCCCUCUGUUUUAAGUGUCGCAUGGUCAUUAUUAGAUCCCGCAGUUUCUCCCGUGUGAUUAAUGUGAAUCUGUCUCUUUUGACCAACUUGCGACCGUAGGCUUUGGAGGGUGCAGUGACAUUCGAGGACGAGCCACGCUCAUGGGAGAAAAGGACACCGUUCAGAUCAAAAACGAUACAGUACCUUCGCCGUGACUUUGAAAUGAAAUGCGUCAACAUAAAAAAUGGUACAAGUCAAUUUUACCAUCUACAAUAUUAGCAAAUGGUGCUCCCGAUGGUCGUUGAGAGGGUUUUGGUCGAGGAAACGUGAAGGGCAGAAAUACUCUCCUCUGCAAUGUGGGGUCAAUCGCAUCCGAUGGCGUGUGGGCACAUGCCAUUUCAGCUAUAGACUCUGGUACAACUGGCUCAACAGUGGCAUGGGGUGGUUCCGAUGGCGUGUGAUCACACGCCAUUUCAGCUGGUGCCUCCGUUGGCAAAGUGGACAUGACCAAACAGGGAGCAGGGGCGGUGUAGGGAGGUUCUAACGGCGCGUAGUCAGACGAUUGGGCACACGUUGAGUCCGUUGGAAAUGAGGAUACGACCGGUUCGGCUGCUGGGGCGGCCUCAUGCGGGUCCAAUGGCGCCUGGUCACCAUCAGUUGGAUACGUGGACAAGAUUGACUCAGUGGUAUGGGCAGCAUCAAGUGGAGCGUGGUCAGCUUGCUUGGCGUUGAUAUGGAUAGUAGCCUCCACCAGCUCUGAUGACUCUUGCAGGUAAGUAGAGUCCACUGGCGGAUCCAUAUGCAUGUCCAAAUAUCUCCCUUCGAUUGAGAUGGUAUCCUCCCGUGCUACUAAAAAUAAACUCAUUAGCACAUUGAAUCGACUAUACUAUAUUUACCAUCAACUACUAUUGAGGAACUAGGAUCGAUAUCACUUGGGCGCAUUGCUGAUUUUGAAGGAUUGGACAUACGUUUCGACCCUUGCUUGGCACUAUCCUUCCUCGACACUAAAGGCUAGAGUUUGUAUCUUAAUUCAACUGAAUAAUCUCUACUUACCAUUUGCUCUGCGACCUAUAUGGACAAUGUUAGAAAUGGUAAAAGGUUAGGAAUGGAUGUACUAUUAUUUACCUGAUGGUUUGUCUUGUAUGACCUUCCUCUGCUGCUCUUUGGCCACCUCAGGCUGGCCAUCGUCGUCAUCAUCGUCGUCGUCGUUAUUGUGAUCGUCACCAUUGUGAGGACCAUCCAAGUCCUCUUCGUCCUCCUCUUCUUUGUCCUCCUCUUCGUCCUUCUGCUCUUCCUGCUCAUUAUCUUUCUCUGGCUCCUCAUCCCCCUCCUGCAUUUCUUCCAUAGGCUGCUCAGGCUGGAUGGCUUGUUCUUCCAGGACCAUCUUGGGAAAAUCAUCUGGCCGAGUCUCCAUCUCAAAAUACAAGACAUCCAUAGCCUGUUUUAGUGCGUGACCUAGGACCGUAUCCUCACCCGACUAUCUUAACAUGGUUUCUGCACGUUCUUGCACCCUUCGAAGACGACGAGAUGAGAAAAACGUGGCCCUGACUUGAAAAGCAUCCCUCAUCCAUUGUACCUCUCCAUUGAGAUUGGGGAAGGGGAGUCUGCCAUAGGAAUCUGAGUCAGGAGGUGGUGACUGGCUGCUUUCACUCAGCCCUUGAUCUGCAAUGAAUGGCAUGAGCACACACGCCAUAACCGCGAGGCAUUACCUAUCAUCUUUUCGUUGCCCUUCUUCCUUUUCGAAUCAAACGCCUCUGAUCCCGGCGACUGUCCAACGUGCUUUCGCUUUUUAUGACCACUGUCAGUUUGAGCUUGGCUGGUGCUUGCCUGUUUUGCCUUUGAAGAAGUGUCUCCUGCAAGGAAUGGCAUGAGACCACACGCCAUUGCAAAUAUAAUUUGUACCUCCUUUUUUCCUAUUGCUUGUCUGUUUGUCCUUCUUCGACGCGCCACCAGUGCGCUUUUCAGUCCUCGUGUCUGAAUAUUCACAACGAUCUAUAAUCAAAAUGGCGUGAGGCCUCACGUGACCUUACCUUGUGCAGGUUGUGAGCUCGGCCCAACAUGGGUAUCUUCAAUAGUAGCUAUUAAUGCCGUUUCAGCAUCUGGGGGUGGCCACGCUCCUGCAUACAGAGCUUGUGAGAUAACAUUUAAACUUAAAGUGCGUACUCACCAGGUUCGCAGAGAAGAUACUGUUUUUCUUUGGCAACUGUAAUUAUAUGCUCCAUUGAAGUCACCUCUUCAAUGGAGUUUGUCACCGCAACACACGGGACACCCUUGAGUAGUGCGGCUUGAAAGAAUAGUCCACCGCAGUUGUACUCGACAACGCAUUUGCCCUUGGAGUCGGAAGCAGGUGACCCACCCGCUAUUGCGUUGAAGACCCAGCUGAGCAUUUCCCAUGCUGCACCUGGAGCUUUCUUUGGAUUCGAAAGCUCCAUAGCCGUCUUCAGUUCCUCAGGCACGGGUAAAUUGACCUCCCUCAGAUCAAUUCGAUCGGCCUUGUCGAACGAAGCUGGGAAGUCACUCCAGUCCCACUUUGCUGUAGGACCAAUAACAAGGGCGAGUGUGAAGAUGCGGACAUUUGUCGGUAUCUUCUUCUUAGCCAUUAUCCCAUGGAUCUCCCGCAUCUCCUUGCCUUUCAACCGAGCCUUCACCUCAUUCAAGGCCUUCCAGAACUUGUGAUAGGAUUCGGAGUCGUAGAUCAUAUAGUGGACUGAAGAUUCCACCUCCGCAAGUCCCACCAUUAAGUCAAUGAUGGAGCUGACUUCGUCUGCAUGAGUGAUCUCCUCGUUUGUGAAGUCCAUCACACAAAAGAUGUUCUUGACCUGCUCAUCUCCGCGGGAAAUGAUGCUCCUCCACCUUUGAUCCUCAUCCGAAUUCACGUAUACCCGGUAAGGUUCUCGAUAGGCCUCUGCUGCGGGGUCGAGCUGUUUCUGAAGCCGGCGGUCGACAUCCCUCUUAAUGAAAUUUGGAUACUGAUCCAACUUCUCAGCUUUACUUUUCGUGGUAUCCCGCAGCAGAUCGAUGAACUUGGGGGCCCCCUUCACGUACUCGUCGAUGUCUUCAUUUGACAACUCCAGCGCUUCCAUCAUCUCUUGCGUGGUGUCGAUGCUCACCCUCUCCACGGCCACUUGCUCGAAGAUCCAAUCUUUCAAUAGCGCACGAGCUCUCAGAGUCGUGCACAAGUCCUCGUAUGUCACAAUAUGGCCGAAAGUCAUUUUGGUCUUGUUGAAGACUACCUCACCACGUAGAAGAGCAUUAGCCACUGUCAGAAGGUCGUCGUCGUCUAGAGACCGCGACAAACACAAGGCGUUAAGCUUCAAAUCAUUGGGCUUCCGGCCGUCCUCCACACCCAUUGAGUUUAGCAACUCCCCGUCAUGGUACCUCCUCAGCACAUCUACCCAUUUGUCAAAAACAACUUUUGUCGCGAGUAGAAUGUUAUGGAUGCUGAGUGUGUCAUUGACCCCCAGUUUUUUCGAGAGAAGACUCGAGAAUUCCUGCAAUGGAAAUGGCGUGAGGCCACAUGCUAUGCCACAUGCAACGAGGCUUACCUGCCAGGCGCUAGUUGCUAGUGCACGUCCUUGUCCUAGUUUUUGUGGCUUCUUCAGUUGAACCCAGAGCUUCUGUGUUCGUGCCAAUGUCUCGUGCAGACCCAAUUUGUAGCACGUUUCUUGCUUGACAUUCUGUGCGUGGGAGAUGUAUAUGAUAGAUCUGAGGGGCGAGUUGCCUUUUAUCAGGCGGACAACUCUUGUCUUGAAGACUUUCUUCACCUCCUCGCCCACCAUAAUAUCCACAACUAUCUCUUGCAUCGCCAAGCUAGAAUGCUGCCCGGAGACGGCAUAGAACCGGAUGUUCUGAUCGUCCAACACCUUCCUAUUGAUCAAGUCUAGAAACCUCGUCUCGCCCUUCAUUGUUCGGUAGUAGGGGAUCACGUCUACGAUGUCGGGUGUUACUGGACUUGCCAGCAUCUUCUGCUUCAGUUUCUCCACCCACUCAUCAGAUACUAGCCUGUGGUUGUAUUUGCUUUGGAUGUCGAUACGGCUCACGUCGAUUGUAUAUACUUUGUUGGAAUAGUAACAAGUACUAUUAUCUGCGAUGAUUUUUGCUGCCUCUUCUUGCUCUGUCUGCUCUUUGCGGCUCUUCUUUUUGGUGGGUGUAGUGUUCGAACCCGAGGCAAUGGCAUCACCGAGUAGCUUCAUUUUUGGAGGAGAGUCGGACGUCGGCUUGAGCUUAACCAUCCUUUUCUGCUUUGGGGUAGUUUCCAGAUCGACCCCCUUCCCCUUCGCUUUGCGAACUAAAAGCACUCUCAAUGGCUCAAUGUUGGAAUAUAGUUUUUGAACAUCGCCGUAGGUGAGGUCCAUGGAUUCCAUGUGAUCUUCAUAGACCCACAGCGUCUUUGAAAUUGUGGGCCUCCUGGACAACCUCUCCCUAGCUCCCUCUAGGAAUUCCUCAUAGCCGCUGCCCCCCUCCGGGAAGCCGCUAGGAUGUGCAAGGUGGAUCUUGAAGGCAACGUUGUCUCUACCACAAGUGCCAGUCCAUAUUCUUGCAUGGAACUGCAUAGAGUGUCUGUCACUUGGAUGAGGAUCCCCAUGCAUUCUUUUCUCCCACCAUCUGUGUUGUACAGCCUCAGAUCCUCGCCUUCCAUCCCGAAAGUCCAACUGGUGAGCUCCUCCCCCUUCUUUGCAUCCACAUUGACAGUGGCUGGAAGAAGAACGCAAUUCCUCACCUGUUCAGAAAUGCACAACAAUUAGAGCUGACAGAUGAAAAGCUAGCAGCUGGAAAUAAUGUGAGGCCACACGCCAUUCACCAUUGCAUCAGAUGUCUUGAGGCUGCAUCCUAAGAUGGCCUGAGGCUACACACCAUCUGUAACUGGACUGCACUCGAGAGCCCAAUCGGUGCAUGCCAAUGUUGGUACUGAAUGGCAUGUGGCCUCAUGCCAUUUUGUACUUGCCCUAAAAGACUUACCAUUUGAAGCCGAAUGGAGGCGUUACAACCGGACUCGCUGGCGAAUGUGCACUGUGUGUGCAGUGGAUCGUAGCAGCAAGGCUACUCUGCCACUUAUAGUUGGAGAGUGGCGCUGAAAUCUCCCGGGACGCCAAGUGGGGGCGGAGUUGGCGGCGAAGUUACAAACUGGGUGUGUCUUGAAGUGGAUGCCGAUGCACACGAGCGCGAUGCGAGCGCGAGUGUGAUGCAAGCGCGAGUGGACGCUGAUGCACACGAGAAACCUGUAGAGAAGGUAGAUGAGCGCGAAUGUGAGCGUGAUCGCGAGUGGGAGCGCGAUGCGAGCGCGAGUACGAAGCAAAAUGCAAAACCUAACCUCACACGCGCGAAAUGUCACGACGGUUGGUAGUCCCGCCACGUCAUCAUUCCUCGGACUUGGGCGCCACCAUUAAUUUCUGGAUCACCGCGCGCAUGCAUGCACGUGAAAUCCAAAAGAAAUCCGCAAUGUCAUCAUUCCUCGGACUGCAUGCACGCAAAAUCCAAAAGAAAGAUCAUGAUUGGGAUAUCAUUUAAUACCCUCGCUAUAUUUAUACCAUGCAUGAUUGGAUAUUCCAAAGCAUCUUGUAUUUCCAAAAAUGCUAGAUGUUCAGCUAAAUAAAUUGUCAGAGGAUUUGAUGUGACGUUCAAGCGUGUGGGCUCAUGCAAUUUUGAUCCCAAAAAAUGCACUAAAAAUUGCUCGGCGUCAUCUGGCAUUAUCUCUUGAAUGGUGUGGGGCCGCAUGCCAUUUUCAGGGGCACAUAGGAGUAUAUUCCUAGAAUAUUCUAACACGCGCGAGAUUGUUUUGAGUUUUCUGGAGAUCCAACCGUUAGAUUGCAACUAGAUUUUACAGAAUGGUAUACAAUGUCCUUCUUGAUGACCCUGCAAAUAAGCAUCUCAAUCGGACACCACAUGAGACCACACGAGCCUUACAAUGUUUCAUGGGCAUUUGCCAUAGAUCCGACCGUUAUUUUGCUCCAAGAUUCUACAGUUUGGUGUGCAUUGACCUUUCCAUCGACACUGCAAAGCAUAGUUACGAACACGAACAUGGAACACGAACAGGAGCCUCAGAUUUCAGGAACCCGAACACAGAACACGAUCACGGCCCACGAUGGCUCACGAAUAUUCUACUGAAUAUUCUAAGAAUAUGUUAUUUAAAAAUUAUAUUCUUUUUCUUAUUAUAUUAUUAUAGGAAUAUGCUAUAUUUUAUUAUAUUAUUCUUAAUAUUUUUAUUUGCACAUAAACUACUUCACACUUUUAAACUACUCAAAUAUCCUGCAUCUCAUCGUCAUCUUCAACCUCAUGAUCUUCGACCUCACGAUCUUCGACAUCAUCUCCAUCUUCCUCUUCCUGUCCUGACUCAAGCUCGUCUUCAAGAUGAGGAACUGUGUCCAGGACUUUGUAGCUUACAAACUUGUCGUAAUCACGAUCAUUUUUGCAGGUUAACAACCUGGUGUUGCAAGCCACAAAAACCAGAUCCGCUGUCCUGUCCAUGGUAAGUCUGUUCCUCUUUUUUGAAGAAACAUGCUCGAAAGUACUGAACAAUCUCUCCACCGAGGACGACGAGCAUGCCUGACUUAGAACUCGAAUGGCCAACUUUUGAAGAGCUGGAGAGUCAUAACCAUAGUCCUCCCACCAACGUACAGCUCCCCUCUUAGUGCGAUCAGCCUUAGCAUCAUAUGAGUUGAAAAUGCCUCCUAUCCUCCGGUAAGUUAAAAGCUCAUCACGUAUCACAUCCCUCUCACUGGAUGUAAACAUGGCCAGCAGAUAAGCAUUCCAGUCCUUCAUGACCUCUCUGUUAGCAUGCUUUUCAUACUCCUAAAACUCGGGGUCCAACAUGUAUGCCACCGAGUGUAUGAGCGAGUGAUACUCAUGCCACCUAUUAGACAUGAUCUGAUGAAGUUCCCUGUACCUGCCAUAAUCCGACUGUCCUUCCUCUAAACUUGCAUCCAACCUGUUCAUGCACUCAUAUAUCUUUCCAAUCGCAGGUAUAUCACCGUCCACAACACGAAGAAGCAGCAUAACAUCCUUGGACACCUCUAGCAUGUCCUUAACCUGUUGCCAGAAACUGUCAUCAAAAACCGUUGCAUAACUGUCCCUUCCUGCUCUCGACUUCGACUCAGGCCUUGCUCUGUACGCAGGGCAUACGAACAUCUGUUGUAAAGCUUCUCGGAGCUCCACCAGCCUCUCCAUCAUAAUGAAGUUGUAGCCGAACCUGGUAUCACAAUAACGCAGCAAUCGCUUGUUAGUAAACUCCGCCAGCAGUGCCACUAUAUGAGAGUGGUUUCUAACGAAGAUCACCAAAGACUUUCCACGCUCCAGAAGUGUUGCCAUCCAUGGAAGUACACCGAAGUCUUUCAAGGCAUUGUUCAAGCAAUGGGCAAAACAUGCUGCCCAUUGAAUUUUCGGGUACCUCUAUUGCAAAAGUGCUGCUGCUGCUCUGUUUGCAUUUUCCCCAUCGGUCACAACCAUGACAACGUUCUCUGCACCUACAAUGUUAAUGCCUUCUUCCCAGCAGCGCAGAGUAUUUUCAGCUGUUUUUCCUGUUAAGGAAAUGUCGAUAGCCUUCAAAAAAGCUCCUCGUCCUUGACUAUAUGCCACAAGCCCCAUGAUAUGCCGAUUCCUCCUAUCUGCCCACCCGUCUGCGCAUAUGGUUGCACCCCUCUACUCCCACAGCUUCCUCAAGGACGCCAUCUCAAUGUCAAUGAAUCGUUUCUCUUUCACCAAAAGCUUAUCCCGGAGAUCAUCAUAUUUUGGUGGUGCAUAAGGCACACCAUGCCUGGCAACUUCCUGUAUCAUGUUGAGGAAGUAAGGUGACCGAGCCUUGACAAAUGGAAUGUGUUCAUUCCAGAAAAAUCUUCCGAUAGCCACAUCAACUCGGUUCUUCCGCUCAGGAUCCAUCGAAUCAACAAUAUGGACUUGACUCUGUUUGCUAAAAAACAGGGAACUGCAGCCACUUCCACUUGACUGGGAUUAUACCACCGGUGGAAAUCCUUGGACAUUGCCAUCCAUUCUCAUAGAAGCACCACCAGAUUCAUUCGGCCGUUUCUUCCCCCUUGCCCCUUUCUCGAAAUCAAUAACCUUUUGCAUAUUGAGCAGAUCCGCUUUCUUGUUACCUGGGAUGAGAGGACAACUCACAAUAUCCUUGCUGCCUGGGCCUUCUCCUAACAGAUGAGCUCCCACAUGAUCAACACCACUCAGUUUGUUCACCAUUGGGCAGUAUUUGCAUGACCAUAAUUUGUGGCCAUGCCCCCUGCUCUCAAGAACACUUACCUCAUCCCACCAUCGCGAAGAAGGAUGCUUUCGCAGUAUGCUGGAUUGCUGCGCCAUGCUUGUUUGCCUUGGAUUGCUGCUGCUGUGCCCUGAAAUGGUGCGCCCUGGCUAGAUUGUCGUGUGAUGCCGUGCGCCCUAAAACCAGAAUAUUCCGCGCGAGAAUAUUCUAAACAGUGGUCCGUGUUACUAACACGGACCACUGUUCACGAACACGGCCGUGGGAACACGACCCAUGGCCGUGUUCGUGAAACACGGUGAACACGGCCGGGAUCCAGGCCGUGUUCGUAACACGGCUGCAAAGGGACAUCACAAUCAGAUGCGGGAUCACAAGAAACCAACUUCACUAACUCUGGUUUCACCAAGAUCUACGUAAGGAGUUAUGAAAUGAAAGGACCUUCUCUAUUGAAAUGUGUUUAUGGUCCUAGGGGCAUUGUGACAUAUCAAAGGAUUUUGCAUCAAGUUCUGUAUUUGCAUGUUUAUCAAGCUACUGAAUUGCUAAACCCUAAACCCUAAACCCUAAACCCUAAACAUGUGGCAAAUGCUGCGUGGAGAAAGAUGCCCUUUCUGGGCAAAUGCUGUAAGAGGCAGAUACCGAGCAGAUGUAUCUCAGGCUAGCGAAGGGGACAAACAAAAGCUAGCUAUAAACAUGACGGGAUGCAAAUAGAUUACUAGGCUGGUCCUGCGAAAAUCAAAAACCAUAAUUGAAAACAUUGAAAAUGCAAAAAGAAAGGUUUAUAAUAUUUUUGAAUUUUAAGCAACCAAAGGAAUGUAAGUAGGGCAUGUGUUUGUAAGUUUAAAAAUGCCUCAACCACUUAAAUUCCCAAGUAAAUAAAGCUGUUUCUAUUUUUGGUACAGGUAAACUUUAUAGCAUGUGGGCUCAUGCAAUUUUGAACCCAAAAAUGCACCAAAAAAUGCUCGACUAGCAUUAUUCUUUGAAUGGCAUGUGGCCUUAUAUUGCCAUAAAUGGACGUACACACACAGCAUAAUUAUUCCUUUAUACGGCGAAUAAUCUUGGCGCGGAUCGCUGACACGGCAUGGCAAAGUUCGAAUCACUGACAUGGCACAGCUGGAUCGAGGCAAGGACAUGAUGUGACAAAGUUCAACCUCCGACAGCAAAGUCUAGAAGCUACUCAGUUUGAAAUUUGUCAGAGGAAUCAUAAGAUCUGGUUUGUCAGACGAUUUGAUGUGACGUUCAAGCGUGUGUUAUUUUUGAAUUCUCGAACUCAUUCCUAGGUCUAUCAUUUUUGUGCGCCGUGUUCUUGGUUCCGUUGAGCGCAGUGAGCGCUGCUUGUGUAAGCAGCGUUGUGAGCUGUGGUUUAUGCGUCUACAAGCGGUUGCGGCAUUGCGAGCGCCAUUGCGAGCGGCAGUUUAUGCGAGUGGCAGUUUGUGCAAGCGGCGCUACGAGCAGUUGCGGUGUUGCGAGCGGCGCUACGAGUAGUUGCGGUGUUGCGAGCGGCACUGUCUUUGGUGUGGCUACCGCUUCCUCUUGAUAUUCGGCACUUGUGCUUCCUGGUAUGUUCACCAUGAAAUGGCUUAGGACCACAUUUAGAAAUGGCAUGAGGCCACAUGCCAUCUUGGGCCCUUGCAAUUUCAUGGCUAGCGUAUUGUCAUGUAUGUCUUCGAUGGGAAUGUGGUCGCUAUUGAACGAGGAGAGGUGGUCGUCGGGGUAAAUGUUGUUGUUGCCUUGAAAAAUCUGCAGAAAAAAGCAGAUGUUGGGGACAGCGCAAGUGCGACGCAUGUUCCCUCCGUGGAUCUUAAGAACCGUGCUACAUAGAUUCAGGCAAAGGUGUUUCUAAACAACCCCGAGGGGGAGGUGGUAGCUGAGAGCUUAGCCACAGUUGUCGAUCCAAGAGAUGCGGUUGCUAAUCAAGAAUUGGGCUGGGAUGAUAUUGGAGUUGCGAUUUUAGAGGUUGUUGACACAGAAGAAAACAGUCUGACUAUUGGAAGCAUUGUGCGGUGGAAAUUGAGGCAUUUAGUGUUUGAGAAUGUGAAGGAUUCACAAUCAAACACCACUACAACUGAUGACAAAACAUCUCUUCAUGGGAAAAGAAAGUACACCUUCUUAAAGCGCAGCCAAAGGGAUCUGAGCAACGAACCGAAAAGGCAGAAAAUAGCGAUGGAGGUUCGAAUGGUCUCGACAGUUGCUUGUUACAAGAGGAGGUGCUGUCAACAUGCUGAUUCGGAUGCUAUUGAAGAGGAGAGAGCAAGAUACAAGACAUUGUCCUGGAAGGCAGUUGUAAGAGACUAAAUUUUCCAUUCUACUUUAGUCACUUAACCACACCUCUGACCACUUGGAGGAGUCUCAUUCACAACCUCCAUAAGUCCAAUCCAGGACUUGGGACUUGCUAGCCCCGAGAAUGGCAUCCAUGCCACUCAACAUUUGCACUUGGUCCAAGUGCUCCACGUGUCCGAUCCCAUGACCGACACUCAAAGGUACCACCGACAUAGCAGCCCGUUACGCUGAGGCCAUGCCCAAUCACCUUUGCCACAUUGGUAGUCCAAUACCACUUGCAUCACAGUCUUGGCUCCCAAGACUAGGCAAACCAUCCGUGAGUGGUCAUCUCAGAUCCACUCCUUAGCAUCCUUAGGAUGCCCACCGACAAGGGGAUAGCCUUCCCCAAUAUCCCUCUGUCAGUCCCCACUAAGUCCCUUUCUGCCCCUGGUCGUGUUUGCCAAGACUGUCACUGGAUCGAGACCCACAGGCCCGACCACUAAGUCCCACAGUCCUCUGGGACUUCCUCACCACACGACUGUGUCCUUGGUCACUACCCCAGAGGACUGCUCCUCUUCCUUUCCACAGUCUGGGCCUUUGGGACAACAUUUCGGAACACCGUGGCCUUACGCGAGCCACCUGGGUAAUCUCCUCGCCUUCUGCCCUUGGGUGCUCUAGCCAUGGGCUUAGAGCGGGUUCCGUUGAGCCACACCAGGUAUCCAAGUAGGUAGUGCCACCCACACUUGGACUGGGAGCAUCGGCCAGUCGAUCUCCCGGGGGAACUAGAGCCGGCUCUUGAACACUUCACCAAGCUACCCCGCUUGUCGGUCUGUGUUCACUCUAGUCUUGGACUUCCCAGUGGGCAGCUCAUCACCCAACACUGGGUCCGGCCUUCCUGGGCCAAACUGGCCAAACUGGCCAAACUGGCCUUUCCUGGCCAAACUGGCCUUUCCUGGCCAAACUGGCCUUUCCUGGCCAAACUGGCUCCACUGCAGUCCUCCCCCUUACUAUACUUUUGGAGCUCACCAAACCCCCCAGGGUCUGGGAGACGAACGCUUUGGGCUUUCACCCUCUCAGACUCGAACUCGGACUCGGACUCGGACUCGGACUCGGACUUGGACUCGGACUUGGACUCGGGCUCGGGCUCGGUCUCGGCCUCGGUCCCGAUCUCGGUCUCGGUCUCGGUCUCGGUCUCGGUCUCGGUCCCGGUCUCGGUCUCGACUUUGGACUCCAUCUCGGACUCCAUCUCGGACUCCAUCUCGGACUCCAUCUUGGACUCCAUCUCGGGUCCAUCUCGGGUCCAUCUCGGACUCCAUCUCGGGUCCAUCUCGGACUCCAUUUCGGGUCCAUCUCGGACUCCAUCUCGGACUCCAUUUCGGGUCCAUUUCGGGUCCACCUCGGACUCCAUCUCGGACUCCAUUUCGGGUCCAUCUCGGGUCCACCUCGGACACCAUCUCGGGUCCAUCUCGGACUCCACUUCGGACUCCAACUCGGGUCUAUCUCGGACUCCACUUCGGACUCCAACUCGGGUCCAUCUCGGACUCCAUCUCGGACUCCAUUUCGGGUCCAUCUCAGGUCCACCUCGGACUCCAUCUCAGACUCCAUCUCGGGUCCAUCUCGGACUCCAUCUCGGACUCCAUCUCGGAUCCAUCUCAGACUCCAUCUCAGACUCCAUCUCGGACUCCACUUCGGGUCCAUCUCGGACUCCAUAUCGGACUCCAUCUCGGACUCCACUUCGGGUCCAUCUUGGACUCCAUAUCGGACUCCAUCUCGGACUCCACUUCGGACUCCAUAUCGGACUCCACUUUGGGUCCAUCUCGGACUCCAUCUCGGACACUUCCACGUGUCAUGUGUUGGUCCUUUUGGGUCCCUUUUUGGAGCCUCGCUUUUUGCUCGCUUCGUGCUCAUUCCUCGAGCACUUCUUUGGGAGUUCCACUCCCGCUCUUGACUUUUCAAGUCGGAGCUUUUGGUCCAAACGUGUUACGCUCGUUUGGCUCUCGCUUCAGCCACUACCACGUGGCACCCUUUCCGGCUCCACUUUGGGGCCUAGGGAUUUUGUGUCUCACAACUCCACCACCCAUAGACAAAGUUCGAUGUCCUCAUCGAACGGUAAACCAUUUUGUAAAGUAACACUUGCAUGUGUUACCAUUUCCAUCCUUGGCACCUAGCCAAUAUUUGUCAAUGGUUUGACAUUGAAGGCUCACCAUGCCUUUUGGAUAUGCCUCAAUGGUUUGACACCAAAGGCUCACCAUGCCUUGCCUAUCCUCUAAGGAGGGUAGUCUCUCCAACUUAGAGACUGAUUGGACCACAUGUAGUGGUUCUCUCCUUUUAUUGGUUUAGUUCUCGCUAAACCUCUUAGAGACCCUUCUCUAAGUCAAUCCCACUACUCCUUCUUGAGUAGUUUCAAUUUCCAUCUAUUGAAUGUUUGCACCUUGGAACUUUUACUCUUUUGACUUUUGGAAGUCAAUUUCCUAGGUGUCUCCAACACCUUGCAUUGCACAGAUUGUGCAACUCCACUUCUCUAUCCUAGGAAGUUCAUUACUUGAGGGCACCAUCAUCCUCUCUUCUAUUUUGUGCCACCUUGGGCACUAAGUUCCAUUUAUCACACUUUGUGCUAGGGUUGUCCAUCGCCCUAUCAUUUGGCUACCUUACUGCUCCCUCCAUUGGAGCUUCCACUUUCACCAAAUCGGAGCAAUUCGGAAUCCAUCCUUGGAAACACACUUCCUUUCCCGCAAUUUGUUAGCGUCCAACACAUCAGUGUUCCUUGCCUAACUUUGUCACUUGGAUUCCUUCCCAGGGAUUCCACGGCCCUAUCUUGGCCACUCAUCUUUUGCUCCUAUCCGUUGAUUGUUGCACCAAGCAACAUCGAAUCUCUACCUCCCUUCUUGAGGUAUUCUUUUGAUUCCAUAGCAAAGGCUCUGCUUUGCCAAGACUAGGGUGUUCACCCCUAGUAAGUCUCUUUUAGCAUCUUCUGCUGUGGGCUCUAUCCUCGGCCCAGCUUUGUGACCCUCUCAUGGGUCUCUUUAGAGACUACUUUCCUUGGACACCCUAUGCCAUCGCAAUGACAUAGCUCAUUUCCCUAAGGUGCUUUUCCCACUUGGUCACCUUGACCAAGCCACACCAUCAUCAAUGGUUCAAAUCAACACUUUGAACUAGGAACCUUAUUCCUUAACCCAAACAAAGACCUUGUCCUUAUUUAGCCACAAGAUCACCUAGUGAUCUCACCUCGGCACCUUAACAGGUUUGCCAAUAGGUACUAGGUCUUCCAGACCUUUAACUUGUUAACUACGACCCCGGGGGCAUCCCCCACACUUGGCGGUGCGCCCAAGCCAGCCCUUCUGGCCAAGGGUCCAUAGCAACUGAGAUUAGGUGUCCCCAUCUCACUCACCACGUCCUUGGUGCCACUUGCACCAAAGCGUUCAAGUUAGAUAUGCCGAGCUUUCACACUAAGCAAUCUAACCGUGCAUCACGACUCCGAGGCAUCCCUCGCUUGGCGGUGUGCCCAAACCAGUCUCCCCACUGAGAGUCCAUGACCACCGAAAUAUGAGUGUCCUCAUAUUCCAAACCAUCACCACACCCUAGUGAUUUGGGACUCGAACCCAAGCACUAGAGGGUCGGGACUCGAACCCAACCUCCGUAUAUGCAUCUACGGACGGCAUCACACAAGAUGCCUGGCGUGACUCCCCACGCCGGUGCACCAACUUAUUUUUAAAGUGCGCUACAGAUCACAGCUUAGGAACCUAGUUCCUCCACACUGCCAAGUCCUCUCACUUGACAUGUCUGUGAUCAUGCAUGGACUCCUCCAUGCUCGGCCCCAUGGCCCACCCUUUUUGAAGUUAUCACCUUCAACUAGGGUAUUUGUUCCCCCGACGUGCCAAUCUCGCUUGGCAAGUCCUCCGACCACUGUAACAUGGUUCAUGCAUAAGCGUGAAAGUCCUUGACCAUCGACUUUCGUUCAAAGCCCUCUCUUUGAACACUCGGGAACUACUUCCCUAACCUUGAUAGCCUUGCCUCAUGGCAAGCUUCAAGACCACGCUUCUGCUGCACCACUCUGAUUUUGCGCGUUCCAUGAACUAUUUACACUUGGCCUUUCUAGGUACUAAGCUACCUAGAAUCGUCUUUGGGAACCUUGAAGGAACUCUGUCCCUCAGCUUGCUAAGGCCUCCCUUUUUGCAAGCCUUCAAAAUGCCAUAUAGUCUAACAUGGACAAUUCCAUAUUUUAGACUCUCCAUGGCAUCACGGUUGCUAGCGGUAACACCCUCGAGCCCCCACUUGAUUCUCCACUGCCAGCUGGCAUAACCAACCUUGGUUAUGCCCUUUGAUUCCUAUGGUUCGGUUCUAUCCUCUUACUUCUUGCUUUUUGGCUUCACACCUUUCCUUUGGUCAUUCUCCUCCAGACCAGGAGGAUAACUUUGCACUUUCUAUCACGCUUUAGCAAGUAUUCUUAGGGAUGAACCUACCCAAUAGCCUAGGGAGUGGUUCCUCAAUCUAGGUAUGCUCACCUUAUAAUCCCACACACUGGGAUUACAUUGUUGCUUAUGGGCCUUUACAUGCCCAUCACUAGCCUUGCCAAAAUUCCAUUUUUGGCUUUGUCCAACUCGGGUAGACAGUCCUCUUCUAUCUCCGCAACCUUGGACAUUUGGAUAACACCUUCUAUUCAUCAUUCGCUAGAGACUUAGUCCUUUGGGCUUUAUCCAUUGCCCUCGCGACAUCAAACACCACCUUCUGGUGUUCUAGAGUGUCCGGGUGUCCCAAUGAUGGCUUUCUUGACAAUGAGUAUUUCCUUUUAUGACAUUGACUUACUAUAUCGCAACACAAGCAACUUAUCCCCCGUAAGGGUAUAUCCAACUUCCUUAUGCUAUUAAGAAGUCUUGGGUAGCUACCUUCUACCCGUUUAACCAGUUAUUUUGCACCUCUUGCUUAGUUUCCUCAUAGUUGUCAAGUCCUACAACUCAUUGCUUGGUGCUUUCACACCUCCUUCAUUAUCUGGGUCACCACACUCCAACUGCAUGCUUUGCAGCUUAGGCUAUGCCAUUCCCAUUUCCAUUGGGAUUCCUUUGGCAAGGGGUUCUCAUGAACCCACCAACAUAGCCUCAAGGUAUCACACCUUGGCACAUUUGGUGUCUCCACACCAUCGGCUCCACAAGCCUACCUCUAUGACAUUUCCCCUUCGUGUCUAAGUCUUUGCCAAGACCAACACCGCUCUUUCUCAUGCCAACCAUCCGUUAGCACUGCCCCAUAGAGGUCACACACAACUUUAUGUCAAAGUUGUUUUCUUCUGGGAACACCUUUCCCAUAACUUUAGCAUGGCACAUUUUGCCAUCGAUGAGAUACCCUCUGUUCUCAUCCUUGGAUCCUAUGAUCCCCCCCCAUCCUUUGUGGGGUACAACACACCUCAGUCCAAAUGCUUCCAUCAGUCCUUUUAGGACCAUCCCUUGACUCUACUUGAGUCAUCCAGCAGUUUUGGACUUGGUUAAUCCACAGACCCGUAAGGUCCUACUUGUGAGGCACUAGCUCACUGGAAUACACUUCUUGCAUUCCUGUCCUACUCAAAAGGACUAUUUUCACAAGUGUUACUCCGACACUUGAUUUUGUUCUCUGGGGGCAACUUUUGCCCCUUAGGACUACUUGUCCAUAUGAUGAGAAUACCACUCAUCUCUAAGUACACCCCCCAACUCCUUGGGUUGUUCCAGCAUUUAUUAAAGGUAGCCCCGGCUACCAUUUCAAGGACUUGAGUCCUCUUCCGUAUUUGACCUUCCACGGUCAUUACCUUUGGCCUCACAUUCAUGAGUACCAACCUCAACUAUAUGAGGAUAAUCUUGUGACUCCUUUAUUGUUUUGGAGUCUCUAUCUUUCCCGUGAUCCCAACUUUAGUUGUUUACCACAACAACCUUAGCCAUUUUGUUGAGACAAAUGCUCAUCCGGAUCCCAUCCUCAACUCAAUGAGGAAAACCUUGCACUGUUCCCAAGAUCCCAAAGUCGUUCCAUUAUUGGCCCUUUUCUAUCCACCACCUCGUCUACAAGUUCACACAUGAACUGUAAUGGAGAGCCAUGUCUUCCCGACUUGCUACUCCUCAAGGAUAGGCCCACUCCUCGGACCUUCCGAUGCCAACACUAGUGGUGAUAUAGUUGAGCACCAAUAAAAGUCGGACUAAGGAACAGCUCCGAUACCAAAUUGUAAGAGACUAAAUUUUCCAUUCUACUUUAGUCACUUAACCACACCUCUGACCACUUGGAGGAGUCUCAUUCACAACCUCCAUAAGUCCAAUCCAGGACUUGGGGCUUGCUAGCCCCGAGAAUGGCAUCCAUGCCACUCAACAUUUGCACUUGGUCCAAGUGCUCCACGUGUCCGAUCCCAUGACCGACACUCAAAAGUACCACCGACAUAGCAGCCCGUUACGCUAAGGCCAUGCCCAAUCACCUUUGCCACACUGGUAGUCCAAUACCACUUGCAUCACAGUCUUGGCUCUCCAAGACUAGGCAAACCAUCCGUGAGUGGUCAUCUCAGAUCCACUCCUUAGCAUCCUUAGGAUGCCCACCGACAAGGGGAUAGCCUUCCCCAAUAUCCCUUUGUCAGUCCCCACUAAGUCCCUUUCUGCCCCUGGUCGUGUUUGCCAACACUGCCACUGGAUCGAGACCCACAGGCCCGACCACUAAGUCCCACAAUCCUCUGGGACUUCCUCACCACACGACUGUGUCCUUGGUCACUACCCCAGAGGACUGCUCCUCUUCCUUUCCACAGUCUGGGCCUUUGGGACAACAUUUCGGAACACCGUGGCCUUACGCGAGCCACCUGGGUACUCUCCUCGCCUUCUGCCCUUGGGUGCUCUAGCCAUGGGCUUAGAGCGGGUUCCGUUAAGCCACACCAGGUAUCCAAGUAGGUAGUGCCACCCACACUUGGACUGGGAGCAUCGGCCAAUCGAUCUCCCGGGGGAACUAGAGCCGGCUCUUGAACACUUCACCAAGCUACCCCGCUUGUCGGUCUGUGUUCACUCUAGUCUUGGACUUCCCAGUGGGCAGCUCAUCACCCAACACUGGGUCCGGCCUUCCUGGGCCAAACUGGCCUUUCCUGGCCAAACUGGCUCCACUGCAGUCCUCCCCCUUACUAUACUUUUGGAGCUCACCAAACCCCCCAAGGUCUGGGAGACGAACGCUUUGGGCUUUCACCCUCUCAGACUCGAACUCGGACUCGGACUCGGACUUGGACUCGGACUCGGACUCGGACUCGGACUCGGGCUCGGGCUCGGUCUUGGCCUCGGCCUCGGUCUCGUUCUCGGUCCCGAUCUCGGUCUCGGUCUCGGUCUCGGUCUCGACUUCGGACUCCAUCUCGGACUCCAUCUCGGACUCCAUCUCGGACUCCAUCUCGGACUCCAUCUCGGGUCCAUCUCGGGUCCAUCUCGGACUCCAUCUCGGGUCCAUCUUGGACUCCAUUUCGGGUCCAUCUCAGGUCCACCUCGGACUCCAUCUCAGACUCCAUUUCGGGUCCAUCUCGGGUCCACCUCGGACUCCAUCUCGGGUCCAUCUCGGACUCCACUUCGGACUCCAACUCGGGUCUAUCUCGGACUCCACUUUGGACUCCAACUCGGGUCCAUCUCGGACUCCACUUUGGACUCCAACUCGGGUCCAUCUCGGACUCCACUUCAGACUCCAACUCGAGUCCAUCUCGGACUCCACUUCGGACUCCAACUCGAGUCCAUCUCGGACACUUCCACGUGUCAUGUGUUGGUCCUUUUGGGUCUCUUUUUGGAGCCUCGCUUUUUGCUCGCUUCGUGCUCGUUCCUCGAGCACUUCUUUGGGAGUUCCACUCCCGCUCUUGACUUUUCAAGUCGGAGCUUUUGGUCCAAACGUGUUACGCUCGUUUGGCUCUCGCUUCAGCCACUACCACGUGGCACCCUUUCUGGCUCCACUUUGGGGCCUAGGGAUUUUGUGUCUCACAGCAGCUCGCAAUUUUGUGUAUGAGGCAUUACGGUCAUCUGUUGAUGCUUCAGAACAUCAGGUGGGGGGCAUGGUCUUCCAGAGGGGUUUGGUCUGUAUGAAGGCAUGGAGAAUCAUUUAUGGAGUCCCUCGAACCACAUUCUACAGAAUCAAAACUGAGUUCGAGGAACAAAGGGUUCAACAGGCAGUCCAUGGGAAUGACAGUACGCACAAAACCAGGGGUCAUGUUGUAUAUGGAGAGGCAAUCUUCAAGAGGUUUGUCGAGACAUGUAGCAAGCAGCAACCACAUAAAACCCGCCUCUUGGAAGAUGGAACACGAGACACCCAACGAGUUCUCCCUUGCAUGUAUACCAAGGGGGCCAUAUUAGAAGAUGUGAAUCGGGAACUCCAGAGUAAUGGCUACAGGAAGCUGAGAAAAUCUAGAUUUAGUAAAUUGUAGCAACAGGUUCAGGGAUGUGAGUAUAGGAAAGUACUCCAGCUUUUCAAAGUGUGACGAGUGCACUGCUAUCAAAAUUGCUUUGUCGAAGAAUUCUUGCAGCGCUCAAAAGCGAGAGACGUUGGUUAGAAGGCGGCUCGACCACAACAUCGAGCAGAGAAGCUGCAGGACUGCAUAUUAUCAUAACAGGAUUCUCUCCAUGGAGAGACCUGACUCUUACCUCUGCAUCAUCCACGACAAAAUGGACUAGAAAAAGACGUGCUUACCUCGACUCAAUCCUACCCCCAAGGCAAUCUCUUCAUGCCUGUGUCUCUGUUUGGCAUAAUCGCUCAUGGGCAUGGUGCCCAGAACUAUGGGAACUUCUUUAUACCUCUAUGGGGUGGCGGGGGUGCAAACAUGAUGAUUGCGUCCCUAGCAAAACACUUAAGGUCUCUGCAAAGUGCGCAGACUGAGCUGAACAGCCAACCCUUGCAUAAGGCCCUUGUCGAACGAACCCCAUACAGGGUUCAGCUGGAGGAGGAGCAAAGGCUUGCAAUAUCGCGUGGGGCCCCAUGCCAUCCCAGUGAAUAUGUUGGCCGUCAGAUUGUAGGGUUAUCACGUGAGGCCUCAUGCCAUUCCGACGAGGCUGGUCGCCCGGUGAAUGCACAGCCUCAUCCAAACGAAGUAGAAUCUCAAGGAAGUUCUUGCGGCCGAUGUGGCCUUCCACCCCAUCUUCUGCUCCAAACAGACAAUACUGGCAGUGAGAACAAAAACAUGUACGUCUUCGCGUACUUGGCGAUGCUUGUUGCCAAAGGCAUAUUUUAAACGGUUACACUUGGCUUUCUCAUGGUUGGGCACACUCAUGAAGACGUCGAUGCCAUGUUCAGUCACCUGGCAGAGUCCCUCCGGUGAUCCAAUGUCCUCACCCUCCCACAUCUCUACGAUGAAUUCCAAAAUUGCAUCAAAGGCACUGUUGAAGCUGCACUUGUGACAGAGGUUCCAGACUUUAAGGGGUUUGUAAGAGGCUACAUCAGGGACGGAUCCGAAACGCUGAUUGGCCACUCCAAGCCUCUUCAGUUUCAUUUCAGCAUGCGUGACGGUGCUCCAGUGAUGAGGUACAAGAUGAGAGAAUGGGACACAGUGUGGCUGCCAGUGGAUGGCAUUGAACUCUUCAAGGGAGAUCCCAUAACUGGGGAACCUAUGAUUCCUCAGGGUUCCCCACGGCCGAUGCACCUGGAUGGACUCAAAGACCAGGAAAGUAUAGUGUCCGGGAUUAGAUAGCAUAUUGCCUUCUGGAAGAGGGGGUUGGUGUUUGGUGGAGAAUCCUAUUUUAAGAGGUGCAAGCCUUUGCUCGAAUACUGGGAGAAGAUUAUAUCUGCUAUCCAAAAUGGGCCGGUUGUAUAUGAAGAAUUGGAAGAGUCCUUUUGGCCAGAACCCAGAGCACCAAAUAGUAGUGGAACAAUGUCCUUUGGAAAUGCAGUGACAGAUAAUGAUGUUGAGGAUCACUAUUGUGGGCCGAGGAACAAGAAGUCGGAUUCAGCAUUCAAUCCAGUACAGGUCUGCAAAGGAAUGGUCGUGCUUGUCAGACCCAGUAAUAAAAAACAAAUGAUAUGGGUGGGGCGCUGCAUCACUGAUGCAGAGGAGGAAGCGGAAACUAACUCCUUCAAUGUAACUGUGGAGUGGUUCAAGCCAAGUUCCGGAUAUACGAAGGAUUGCCUAGAAAAGAGAUGGGUGCUAAAUCCAAGGGAUCCCAGCAUGAGCAUAUCGGUGGAUAAUGUUGUGCAUGGUUGGAUGUGGAAGCAGAGUGCCACCAUCACCUUGCCAGACCAUGCAAGAGAUGCAGCAAGAGCAUUCAUAACCCGGGUUCAAGGUGAGAUUCAUUAAUAUUCCUUUACUAAGUUUCUAAUGUAUUUGAUUUCAAGGUGAACAAUCCGAAUCUGAAUCAGAGGAGGCGUGAUGGCAUGGCGUGAUGGCGUGAGGCGUGACACCAAAAAGGAGGUGUCCACUAGCGCUUAGGCUUAUAAUGGCGUGUGCCCUCAUGCCAUUUACUUGAUCACCAAAUACCUUUUUCCCUUUGCACUAGUAUAUCUUAAUACCGGUCUGAGAAAUAGAAUGGCAUGUGCCCUCAGGCCUUUUACUAAAUCACCUUUGAAAGAAAUGCAAGCCUCUAUGUCGUAAAAAAAAAGUACUAGAGAAAUUCCUUAAUAAUAUGAAUGUUAUUUAGUUUCAUGAAAAUACACUAAAGGUCAAAUGAGUUAAAUGACUUCUCCAGACUAGCAAUGCCUCUUGCUACACCUUCACAAUUAGAUUCGUUAGAAAAAGAUAACAUUGAAUAAUAUCUAAAUGUUCUCACCAUUAAGUUAUAUGUCUGGCUAAUAGGAAUGACGUUCAUCUUGGAAAGCUCACCACACGCUCAAUGAACAAACAAAUAGUGUGUGCGCGCAUGCCAUCGCUCUUCUUUAGCUUCAUAUUCGGCUUGUUCACCUUGACAAUGAGAUUUAUUAUACAACCAGAUGGACUCAGUCUGGACACAAAGUCACCACGCUAGUCACCAUGCCCCAGAUAUGUCUAGCCCCUGGACAAAAAACAUAUAAUUUCACGUUAUUUUCAAAUACUUGAAAAUUUGUACCUAGUCCCAUUUUACUGAAUAAAUCCCACUUUAACAAAAUAGAGCUUAAACAGCCAAGCACAUCAAGCCUCCAAGUUCCUAACAUCCCUUGGUACAACAAAACUUGAUCAUGAGACCCUCUAAAUCCUAAGCCUUGGGUGCAACACUUGCUUCGGGAUAUUGGGGCAAAACACCAUGGCCUAACGGCCCGGUGUGGGUACCUCUACCCCCCCACUUCUAUCCCAAAGGGAAGGCCCAAGCCCCUAGGAAGGGUGAGGACCAAUAAGCCAUUAGGUACUCAAGUGGGGCACCACUCCACUUGAGCCGGGAGCACCGCAGUCGGUUUCCCUUUCGAGAGUGGGAGCUGCUCUUGAGCACUUCCUUGGGUAGCCCCUCCGGCACCACCUAAGUCCAUGCUCACUCCCACUCAAGGCCCCUUGGCCCCAAUCUUAACCUCAAGUUCAUUUGGAAGCACUGUUGGAGAGUUCCUUCAAACUGGUUCCUAGACCUCACUAUCCCUACUAUACUUUUGGAACCCCCUGCAUCCCCCCCCCCCCGCCCCCUGGGAGACGCACGCUUUGGGCUUUUACCCCUUGAACCCCUUGACCUGUAUUAGUACUCAGUCUCAAACUCGAUCUUGGACUUGAUCUCAGACCUGACUUCGGAUUUGGUCUCCGACUUGAUCUCGGACUCGAUCUCUGACCCAAUCUCGGACUCGACUUCGGACUCAACCUCGGACUCGGUCUCGGACCCGAUCUCGGAUCUUGGACUCUAUCUUGAACUCGGUCUCUGAGUCGGCCUCAAACUCGAUUCCAGACUCUAUCUCGAACUCGGUCUCAGAGUCGGUCUUGGACUCGAUCUCAGACUCGGUCCCAUUCGAUAAACUCUUUGUCAUUUUGGUCAUGCUUUCAGGGAUCCUUUAGCCUACGACACCUUGGGGAGUUGGUUCUUUACAACUCCACCACCCAUAGAAGAAGUUUGAUGCCCACAUUGAAUGUCUCUUUUUAUCCUACGACUUGUUGACCAUGUCUCUGGGGGCAUCCCCCCACUUAGUAGUGUGCCUAAGUUAGCCUCCCCGGCCAAGAGCCCAUGACAAUGGAAUAUAGGUGUCCCUAUACUCCUCACCUCACCACGCCCUAGUAUGGGGUCAGGACUUGAACCCAGCCUUGCUUUACUAGGGGGUUGGGACUCGAACCCAACCUCCGUAGAAUACGUCUAUGGAUUUGACAUCCCUGUGGGGAGUCGAGUUUAGUUCCCUAUGCCUGGUUGACCUAGCUAACCCAUGCUAAUUAGCUUACCUUUGGCGCGCCUUUGGGUCCCAACAUAUACCAUUGCUCAACUUCACAAAUUGAUAUUUUAAUUGAACUUUGCAUAAGUACAUAGAGUUCUGCCUUGCAGAAAUUCCUCCACUAGAUCUCGCGCUUCUCCUCCGGUUCCCAUGUUGCUUCGCAGUGUGGAAAUCCUUUCCACUUCAUAUGGAACUCUCUCACCUCGCGUCCUUGUCGCUUGCUCUUGCGCGCAUUGAGGAUGGCCUCGACUUUAUAUUCCUCUUCCCCUUGGAUAACCUCAGGUAAAGGUCUUAUUUGGUCCUUGAGAAGCGGAUCCUCAAAGUACGGCUUGAGUAAGUUCAUGUGAAACAUUGGGUGCACUUCCCCAUCUUUCGAGAAAGUCGGAGACAGUAAGCCACUUUACCGAUUCGUGCCUCAAUCUCGUAAGGCCCCGUGAACUUGCUUAAAGAAUUCAAGAUCAAUUCAUUUACAGGAAUACAUGCAUUUUUACCUUUGGGUCAACUUUUGGCUGAUCCCACUUGGUAGCCUGAGGUUCUUGGUGUUCAGCCACACCUUCUCCCCAGGUUGGAACUCUACAUCUCGGCGCUUUUGGUUCAUGUACUUGGUUUGCCUUUGUUGAGCCCGUUCCAAGGAAUCCCUCACGAGAUUCCAAAUGUUGAGUCUUUCCGCUGUGAAUGCCUCCACUGCGGGUGACUCUCCAUGAUACUCGGCCAUGCCAAGUUCCACAGGACUUUCAAUAGCUCGCCCAUUGAUGACUUUCCAUGGACUCACUCCAAUACUCGAAUGUGGUGAGCUGUUAUAACACAUUUCGCAAGUCCCAAAUGACUUAUCCAAUCGGUCUAGUCUCUCGAGACAUAGCCUCGCAAAUAAUCCUCUAGCUGCCUAUUCACCCUUUCCGUUUGCCCGUCUGUCAAAAAGUGUUAGUGCCAUCAAACUUGACUUACUACCCAAUACCUGUCUAUGGGUGAUAGGCUGUCCUGAAUUUCAACUUGGUGCGAUACUGUUCCAGGAGAGUUCUCCAAAACCUACUGAUGAAGAUCUUAUCUCAAUCUGAGAUAAUCUCUUCUAGCCUUCCCUACACUCAAACCACUUGUUCAAAGAACAGCUUCGCCACACCUUCCGCAUCCACUUCCAUUGUGGUGGGUAUGAAAUGUGCCAUCUUCGAAAAUCGGUCCACCACCACAAAUAUCGCAUCGAACCCCUCGCUUGGGAGGAGUCCCAUAAUGAAGUCCAUCGUAAGAUAUUUCCACGGACGAUUUGGAAUUAGGAUGCUAUGUAACAAGCCCUCACUCGCUUUAGUCACAGCUUUGACAUAUUGACAUGUUGGACAUGUCUUUACAUAGUCUUGGACGUCUUUAGCUAUAUCUGGUCAGUGAUACUUCCUUUUGAGUAAGCCCAUUGUUUUGGGCACUCCACCAUGUCCUGCAAAAGGUUCGUCAUGACACUCUUCUAAGGCUACCUUCCUUAGUUCCCCUUCUGGAAUAUACACCCGUGUUUGCUUAUAAUAGAUGAGUCCGUUGCAUUCUGCAUAGCCCGUUUUCUCUUUCGUUGGUAGCUCACCUCUCUGAUGAGCUUCCCGUGCCUCUAGAUUCCUCAGCAACACUUCUUGUGCUAGACCAUCGUUCUCAUAUACUGUCCGCACAUCAUCCCAAAAGGUUGCUAUCGCGCUAGAUAUUGCUAACUUCAAGCUCGACUUAGUGCAUCUGCCACGAUGUUGCUCUUCCCAGGCUUGUACAGAAUCUCGCAAUCAAACUCGGCCAAAGCAUUGGCCCACCGACUCUGUUUCCCUCUCAGGUCGGGUUGUGAUAAGAAGUGUUUCAUUGCCACAUUGUCCGUGUAAACCUUGAAGUGUCUCCCAAGGUAGUGUCGCCAUUCCUUGAGUGCCUUGACCACCGCAAACAAUUCUUUCUCAUGGGUAGGCCAUUUCCAUUGAGCCUUGUCCAACUUCUUCGAGAAGAAUGCUAUUGGAUGGUUGUCUUGCUUCAAAACUGCGCCCAACGCAAAGUCUAAAGCAUCCGUUUCUACCUCAAAGUCCUUACCAAAGUUUGGUAAUGCCAACACGGAAGCCUUCCUCAACUUCCCUUUGAGGUAAACAAAUGCCGCCUCGCAUUCCGCUAUCCAUACCAUCUUCCCUUUUCCCGUUUAGUCCAUUAAGGGCAGAGUUACUCUCGAAUAGUGUUUGAUAAACUUUCGGUAGUAGUUGCAUAGCCCCAAGAAUGCCCUUAACUCGUGUACAUUCGAUGGUCACUCCCAAUCCUUGAUCGCUUGGACCUUCUCAGGGUCCACUUUGAGCCCAUCCUUGCUCACCACAUGCCCGAGAAACUUUACCUCUUGUUGAGCAAAGUCACUUUUAAACUCUAUUUCGUUAAAGUGGGAUUUAUUCAGUAAAAUAGGACUAGGUACAAAUUUUCACGUAUUUGAAAAUAACGUGAAAUUAUAUGUUUUUUGUCUAGGGGCUAGACAUGUCUGGGGCAUGGUGACUAGCGCGGUGACUUUGUGUCUAGACUGAGUCCAUCUGGUUGUAUAAUAAAUCUCAUUGUCAAGGUGAACAAGCCGAAUAUGAAGCUAAAGAAGAGCGAUGGCAUGCGCGCACACACUAUUUGUUUGUUCAUUGAGCGUGUGGUGAGCUUUCCAAGAUGAACGUCAUUCCUAUUAGCCAGACAUAUAACUUAAUGGUGAGAACAUUUAGAUAUUAUUCAAUGUUAUCUUUUUCUAACGAAUCUAAUUGUGAAGGUGUAGCAAGAGGCAUUGCUAGUCUGGAGAAGUCAUUUAACUCAUUUGACCCUUAGUGUAUUUUCAUGAAACUAAAUAACAUUCAUAUUAUUAAGGAAUUUCUCUAGUACUUUUUUUUUACGACAUAGAGGCUUGCAUUUCUUUCAAAGGUGAUUUAGUAAAAGGCCUGAGGGCACAUGCCAUUCUAUUUCUCAGACCGGUAUUAAGAUAUACUAGUGCAAAGGGAAAAAGGUAUUUGGUGAUCAAGUAAAUGGCAUGAGGGCACACGCCAUUAUAAGCCUAAGCGCUAGUGGACACCUCCUUUUUGGUACUCUCAGCGGUACUAUCAUCCUUCUCCGGAUCAGUUGUUUUGCUUUGGAUUGUUGUCUUUGACGUUACUGGGGCAUUCUCAAUAGUUGUUAAUGUUGCCGUUUGUUCAGAAAAAUGAUCACCUGGAGUAUAGUACGGGGAGUUUGGAAGACUUAUAUAUUCUACAUCUUCUCCUAUCUCCUUCUCCGUCUCCUUUUCUGCCUCACUUACAGAUUUUGUGCUUGCCAUGAGAACGCUCUUCACCCUAAAAUAUGGAGUUCGUUGUGUUAUAAAAGGAAACCAACACACAUGCUGCAAGGGAAUGAUGGUACAUAAAGCACGUAAGCCCACAAUAUGGGUUUAUGUGCCAUUAAUAUGGGCCACACGCCAUAUUAUUAGAUUUAUGCACGUGUGAUUGGUAAAUGCAUAUGUCACAUCAUCUUUGUUUUACCUCACACACUAUAUCAGGCAUAAUGAACCAUAUCACAUGUGCGCACAUGCUAUAUAUAUGGAGAAGUAUUAUGCAAGGAUAGAAAAAUUCAAUGCAUGAUUGUGGAGAGCAAUGGCAUGAAGCCACAUGCUAAAUAACAUUUUAGAGAAAGAAUUAAAAUAGAAACAUGCAAACAGUAUUGAGUGGACCAAGACUUAGAAGUGCACAAUUGAAUGAGGUAUUUCUAAUAAAUAUUUCACUCACCUCAUAUAGGAAUGGCUACCACUCUAUAAUGGUGUAUCACUUAAUGAAUCUCACCUUGAACCCGGGUUAUGAAUGCUCUUGCUGCAUCUCUUGCAUGGUCUGGCAAGGUGAUGGUGGCACUCUGCUUCCGCAUCCAACCAUGCACAACAUUAUCCACCGACAUGCUAAUGCUGGGAUCCCUUGGAUUCAGCACCCAUCUCUUUUCUAGACAAUCCUUCGUAUAUCCGGAACUUGGCUUGAACCACUCCACAGUUACAUUGAAGGAGUUAGUUUCUGUGUCCUCCUCUGCAUCAGUGAUGCAGCGCCCCACCCAUAUCAUUUGUUUUUUAUUACUGGGUCUGACAAGCACAACCAUUCCUUUGCAGACCUAUACUGGAUUGAAUGCUGAAUCCGACUUCUUAUUCCUCGGCCCACAAUAGUGAUCCUCAACAUCGUUAUCUGUCACUGCAUUUCCAGAGGACAUUAUUCCGCUACUAUCUGGUGCUCUGGGUUCUGGCCAAAAGGACUCUUCCAAUUCUUCAUAUACAACCGGCCCAUUUUGGAUAGCAGAUAUAAUCUUCUCCCAGUAUUCGAGCAAAGGCUUGCACCUCUUAAAAUAGGAUUCUCCACCAAACACCAACCCCCUCUUCCAGAAGGCAAUAUGCUAUCUAAUCCCGGCCACUAUACUUUCCUGGUCUUUGAGUCCAUCCGGGUGCAUCGGCCAUGGGGAACCCUGAGGAAUCAUAGGUUCCCCAGUUAUGGGAUCUCUCUUGAAGAGUUCAAUGCCGUCCACUGGCAGCCACACUAUGUCCCAUUCUCUCAUCUUGUACCUCAUCACUGGAGCACCGUCACGCAUGCUGAAAUGAAACUGAAGAGGCUUGGAGUGGCCAAUCAGCGUUUCGGAUCCAUCCCUGAUGUAGCCUCUUACAAACCCCUUAAAGUCUGGAACCUCUGUCACAAGUGCAGCUUCAACAGUGCCUUUGAUGCAAUUUUGGAAUUCAUCGUAGAGAUGUGGGAGGGUGAGGAUAUUGGAUCGCCAAAGGGACUCUGCCAGGUGACUGAACAUGGCAUCGACGUCUUCAUGAGUGUGCCCAACCAUGAGAAAGCCAAGUGUAACCGUUUCUAAUAUGCCUUUGGUAACAAGCAUCGCCAAGUACGCGAAGACGUACAUGUUUUUGUUCUCACUACCAGCAUUGUCUGUUUGGAGCAGAAGAUGGGGUGGAAGGCCACAUCGGCCGCAAGAACUUCCUUGAGAUUCUGCUUCGUUUGGAUGAGGCUGUGCAUUCACCGGGCGACCACCCUCGUCGGAAUGGCAUGAGGCCUCACGUGAUAACCCUACAAUCUGACAGCCAACAUAUUCACUGGGAUGGCAUGGGGCCCCACGCGAUACUGCAAGCCUUUGCUCCUCCUCCAGCUGAACCCUGUAUGGGGUUCGAUCGACAAGGGCCUUAUGCAAGGGUUGGCCGUUCAGCUCAGUCUGCGCACUUUGCAGAGACCUUAAGUGUUUUGCUAGGGACGCAAUCAUUAUGUUUGCACCCCCGCCACCCCAUAGAGGUACAAAGAAGUUCCCAUAGUUCUGGGCACCAUGCCCAUGAGCGAUUAUGCCAAACAGAGACAUAGGCAGCUGCAUGGAUGAAGAGAUUGCCUUGGGGGUAGGAUUGAGUCGAGGUAAGCACGUCUUUUUCUGGUCCAUUUUGUCGUGGAUGAUGCAGAGGUAAGAGUCAGGUCUCUCCAUGGAGAGAAUCCUGUUAUGAUAAUAUGCAGUCCUACAGCUUCUCUGCUCGAUGUUGUGGUCGAGCCGCCUUCUAACCAACGUCUCUCGCUCUUGAGCGCUGCAAGAAUUCUUCGACAAAGCCAUUUUGAUAGCAGUGCACUCGUCACACUUUGAAAAGCUGGAGUACUUUCCUAUACUCACAUCCCUGAACCUGUUGCUCCACAAUCUACUAAAUCUAGAUUGGCUCAGCUUCCUGUAGCCAUUACUCUGGAGUUCCCGAUUCACAUCUUCCAAUAUGGCCCCCUUGGUAUACAUGGAAGGGAGAACUCGUUGGGUGUCUCGUGUUCCAUCUUCCAAGAGGCGGGUUUUAUGUGGUUGCUGCUCGCUACAUGUCUCGACAAACCUCUUGAAGAUUGCCUCUCCAUAUACAACAUGACCCCUGGUUUUGUGCGUACCGUCGUUCCCAUGGACUGCCUGUUGAACCCUUUGUUCCUCGAACUCAGUUUUGAUUCUGUAGAAUGUGGUUCGAGGGACUCCAUAAAUGAUUCUCCAUGCCUUCAUGCAGACCAAACCCCUCUGGAAGACCAUGCCCCCCACCUGAUGUUCUGAAGCAUCAACAGAUGACCGUAAUGCCUCAUACACAAAAUUGCGAGCUGCCUUCCAGGACAAUGUCUUGUAUCUUGCUCUCUCCUCUUCAAUAGCAUCCCAAUCAGCAUGUUGACAGCACCUCCUCUUGCAACAAGCAACUGUCGAGACCAUUUGAACCUCCAUCGCCAUUUUCUGCCUUUUCGGUUCGUUGCUCAAAUCCCUUUGGCUGCGCUUUAGGAAGGUGUAUUUUCUUUUCCCAUGAAGAGAUGUUCUAUCAUCAGUUAUAGUGGUGUUUGAUUGUGAAUCCUUCACAUUCUCAAACCCUAAGUGCCUCAAUUUCCACCGCACAAUGCUUCCAAUAGUCAGACUGUUUUCUUCUGUGUCAACAACCUCUAAAAUCGCAACUCCAAUAUCAUCCCAGCCCAAUUCUUGAUUAGCAACCGCAUCUCUUGGAUCGACAACUGUGGCUAAGCCCUCAGCUACCACCUCCCCCUCGGGGUUGUUUAGAAACACCUUUGCCUGAAUCCAUGUAGCACGGUUCUUAAGAUCCACGGAGGGAACAUGCGUCGCACUUGCGCUGUCCCCAACAUCUGCUUUCUUCUGAAGAUUUUUCAAAGCAACAACAACAUUUACCCCGACAACCAUCUCUCCUUGUUCAAUAGCGACCACAUUCCUAUCGAAGACAGUCUCUACUGACACAGCAGCAUUGCCUUCCCCAAGCCUUUGACAGUGUAUAACAAAGUUCCGAUCCAUAGACACAAGGGUCCCUUUUGCAACUCUCUUCCCACCAUUCAAAAUGUAAACCUUUUCCCCAACCCUGAAGGCCAUUCUGAAAGUGCAGAAAAGAAGUUAAGACCAUACAAAAAAUGAUUGGAGAAUGGCCUAAAUCAUAACAUACCAAACAACCUCAAUAGCAUGAGGCCACAUGCCAUUAUUCAAACAUGCUAUUGACACCCACGUGAAAUUUCGCAUUCACAAAAUUGGCAUGAGGCCUCAUGCCAUCUUGAUAUACACACAGCUAUAGGCAAGUAAAAACAUACAUGACAAUACACUAGCUAUGAAGGGCCCAAGAUGGCAUGUGGCCUCAUGCCAUUUCUAAAUGUGGUCCUAAGCCAUUCCAUGGUGAACAUACUAGGAAGCACAAGUGCCGAAUAUAAAGAGGAAGUGGUAGCCACACCAAAGACAGUGCCACUCGCAACACCGCAACUACUCGUAGCGUCGCUCGCAACACCGCAACUACUCGUAGUGCCGCUCGCACAAACUGCCACUCGCAUAAACUGCCGCUCGCAAUGGUGCUCGCAAUGCCGCAACCGCUUGUAGACGCAUAAACCACAGCUCACAACGCCGCUUACACAAGCAGCGCUCACUGCGCUCAGCGGAACCAAGAACACGGCGCACAAAAAUGAUAGACCUAGGAAUGAGUUCGAGAAUUCAAAAAUAACACACGCUUGAACGUCACAUCAAAUCCUCUGACAAACCAAAUCUUAUGAUUCCUCUGACAAAUUUCAAACUGAGUAGCUUCUAGACUUUGCUGUCGGAGGUUGAACUUUGUCGCAUCAUGUCCUUGCCUCGAUCCAGCUGUGCCAUGUCAGUGAUUCGAACUUUGCCAUGCUGUGUCAGCGAUCCGCGCCAAGAUUAUUCGCCGUGUAAAGGAAUAAUUAUGCUGUGUGUGUACGUCCAUUUAUGGCAAUAUAAGGCCACACGCCAUUCAAAGAAUAAUGCUAGUCGAGCAUUUUUUGGUGCAUUUUUGGGUUCAAAAUUGCAUGAGCCCACACGCUAUAAAGUUUACCUGUACCAAAAAUAGAAACAGCUUUAUUUACUUGGGAAUUUAAGUGGUUGAGGCAUUUUUAAACUUACAAACACAUGCCCUACUUACAUUCCUUUGGUUGCUUAAAAUUCAAAAAUAUUAUAAACCUUUUUUUUUGCAUUUUCAAUGUUUUCAAUUAUGGUUUUUGAUUUUCGCAGAACCAGCCUAGUAAUCUAUUUGCAUCCCGUCAUGUUUAUAACUAGCUUUCGUUUGCCCCCUUCGCUAGCCUGAGAUACAUCUGCUCGGCAUCUGCCUCUUACAGUAGUUGCCCAGAAAGGGCAUCUUUCUUCACGCAGCAUUUGCCACAUGUUUAGGGUUUAGGGUUUAGGGUUUAGCAAUUCAAUAGCUUGAUAAACAUGCAAAUACAGAACUUGAUGCAAAAUCCUUUGAUAUGUCACAAUGCCCCUAGGACCAUAAACACAUUUCAAUAGAGAGGGUCCUUUCAUUUCAUAACUCCUUACGUAGAUCUUGGUGAAACCAGAGUUAGUGAAGUUAGUUUCUUGUGAUCUUGCAUCUGAUUGUGAUGUCCCUUUGCAGUGUCGAUAGAAAGGUCAAUGCACACCAAACUGUAAAAUCUUGGAGCAAAAUAACGGUCAGAUCUAUGGCAAAUGCCCCUGAAACAUUGUAAGGCUCGUGUGGUCUCAUGUGGUGUCCGAUCGAGAUGCUUCUUUGUAGGGUCAUCAAGAAAGACAUUGUAUACCAUUCUGUAAAAUCUAGUUGCGAUCUAACGGUUGGAUCUCCAGAAAACUCAAAAAAAAUCACGUGUCAGAAUAUUCUAGGAAUAUACUCCUAUGUGCCCCUGAAAAUGGCAUGCGGCCCCACGCCAUUCAAGAGAUAACACCAGAUGACGCCGAGCAUUUUUUGGUGCAUUUUUUGGGAUUUGUAUACCAUUCUUUAUUUAGCUGAACAUCUGGCAUUUUUGGAAAUACAAGAUGCUUUGGAAUAUCCAAUCAUGCAUGGUAUAAAUAUAGCGAGGGUAUUAAAUGAUAUCCCAAUCAUGAUCUUUCUUUUGGAUUUCGCGUGCAUGCAGUCCGAGGAAUGAUGACAUUGCGGAUUUCUUUUGGAUUUCACGUGCAUGCAUGCGCGCGGCGAUCCAGAAAUUAAUGGUGGCGCCCAAGUCCGAGGAAUGAUGACGUGGCAGGAUUACCAACCGUCAUGACAUUUCGCGCGUGUGAGGUUAGGUUUUGCAUUUUGCUUUGUACUCGCGCUCGCACACUCGCGCUCGCAUCGUGCUCCCACACUCGCGCUCGCAUCGCGCUCCCACACUCGCGCUUGCAUCGUGCUCCCACUCGCGAUCACGCUCACAUUCGCGCUCAUCUACCUUCUCUACAGGUUUCUCGUGUGCAUCGGCCUCCACUCGCGCUUGCAUCACACUCGCGCUCGCAUCGCGCUCGUGUGCAUCGGCGUCCACUUCAAGACACACCCAGUUUGUAACUUCGCCGCCAACUCCGCCGCCCACUCUGCCACCCACACGCAGCCCACUUGGCGUCCCAGGAGAUUUCAGCGCCACUCUCCAACUGUAUGUGGCAAAGUAGCCUUGCUGCUAAGAUCCGCUGCACACACAGUGCACAUUCGCCAGCGAGUCCGGCCUCGAUUGUCACGCCUCCAUUCGGCUUCAAAUGGUAAGUCUUUUAGGCCAAGUAGAAAAUGGCAUGAGGCCACAUUCCAUUCAGUAGCAACAUUGGCAUGCACCGAUUGGGCUCUCGAGUGCAGUCCGGUUACAGAUGGCGUGUAGCCUCACGCCAUCUUAGGAUGCAGUCUCAAGACAUCUGAUGCAGUGGUGAAUGGCGUGUGGCCUUACGUUAUUUCCAGCUGCUAGCUUUUCAUCUGUCAGCUCUAAUUGUUGUGGAUUUCUGAACAGGCGAGGAAUUGCGUUCUUCUUCCAGCCACUGUCAAUGUGGAUGCAGAGAAGGGGGAGGAGCUCACCAGUUGGACUUUCGGGAUGGAAGGCGAGGAUCUGAGGCUGUACAACACAGAUGGUGGGAGAAAAGAAUGCAUGGGGAUCCUCAUCCAAGUGACAGACACUCCAUGCAGUUCCAUGCAAGAAUAUGGACUGGCACUUGUGGUAGAGACAACGUCUGCCUUCAAGAUCCACCUUGUACAUCCUAGCGGCUUCCCGGAGGGGGGCAGCGGCUAUGAGGAAUUCCUAGAGGGAGCUAGGGAGAGGUUGUCUAGGAGGCCCACAAUUUCAAAGACGUUGCGGGUCUAUGAAGAUCACAUGGAAUCCACGGACCUCACCUACGGCGAUGUUCAAAAACUAUAUUUCAACAUUGAGCCGUUGAGAGUGCCUCCAGUUCGUGAAGCGAAGGGGAAGGGGGUCGAUCUGGAAACUACCCCGAAGCAGAAAAGGGUGGUCAAGCUCAAGCCGACGUCCGACUCUCCUGCUCCAAAAAAGAAGCUACUCGGUGAUGCUAUUGGCUCGGGUUCGAACACUACACCCACCAAAAAGAAGAGCCGCAAAGAGCAGAACGAGCAAGAAGAGGCAGCAAAAAUUGUCGCAGAUAAUAGUACUUGUUACUAUUCCAACAAAGUAUAUACAAUCGACGUGAGCCGUAUCGACAUCCAAAGCAAAUACAACCACAGGCUAGUAUCUGAUGAGUGGGUGGAGAAACUGAAGCAGAAGAUGCUGGCAAGUCCAGUAACACCCGACAUCGCAGACGUGAUCCCCUACUACCGAACAAUGAAGGGCGAGACGAGGUUUCUAGACUUGAUCAAUAGGAAGGUGUUGGACGAUCAGAACAUCCGGUUCUAUGCCGUCUCCGGGCAGCAUUCUAGCUUGGCGAUGCAAGAGAUAGUUGUGGAUAUUAUGGUGGGCGAGGAGGUGAAGAAAGUCUUCAAGACAAGAGUUGUCCGCCUGAUAAAAGGCAACUCGCCCCUCCGAUCUAUCAUAUACAUCUCCCACGCGCAGAAUGUCAAGCAAGAAACAUGCUACAAAUCGGGUCUGCACGAGACAUUGGUACGAACACGGAAGCUCUGGGUUCAACUGAAGAAGCCACAAAAACUAGGACAAGGACAUGCACUAGCAACUAGCGCCUGGCAGGUAAGCCUCGUUGCAUGUGGCAUAGCAUGUGGCCUCACGCCAUUUCCAUUGCAGGAAUUCUCGAGUUUUCUCUCGAAAACACUGGGGGUCAAUGACACACUCAGCAUCCAUAACAUUCUACUCGCGACAAAAGUUGUUUUUGACAAAUGAGUAGAUGUGUUGAGGAGGUACCAUGACGGGGAGUUACUAAACUCAAUAGGUGUGGAGGACGGCCGGAAGCCCAAUGAUUUGAAGCUCAACGCCUUGCGUUUCUUGCGGUCUCUAGACGACGACGACCUUCUGACAGUGGCUAAUGCUCUUCUACGUGGUGAAGUAGUCUUCAACAAGACCAAAAUGACUCCCGGCCAUAUUGUGACAUACGAGGACUUGUGCACGACUCUGAGAGCUUGUGCGCUAUUGAAGGAUUGGAUCUUCGAGCAAGUGGCCGUGGAGAGGGUGAGCAUCGACACCACGCAAGAGAUGAUGGAAGCGCUGGAUUUUUCAAAUGAAGACAUCGACGAGUACGUGAAGGGGGCCCCCAAGUUCAUCGAUCUGCUGCGGGAUGCCACGAAAAGUAAAGCUGAGAAGUUGGAUCAGUAUCCAAAUUUCAUUAAGAGGGAUGUCGACCGCCGGCUUUAGAAACAGCUCGACCCCACAGUAGAGGCCUAUCGAGAACUUUACCGGGUAUACGUGAAUUUGGAUGAGGAUCAAAGGUGGAGGAGCAUCGUUUCCCGCGGAGAUGAGCAGGUCAAGAACAUCUUUUGUGUGAUGGACUUCACAAACGAGGAGAUCACUCAUGCAGACGAAGUCAUCUCCAUCAUUGACUUAAUGGUGGGACUUGCGGAGGUGGAAUCUUCAGUCCACUAUAUGAUCUACGACUCCGAAUCCUAUCACAAGUUCUGGAAGGCCUUGAAUGAGGUGAAGGCUUGGUUGAAAGGCAAGGAGAUGCGGGAGAUCCAUGGGAUAAUGGCUAAGAAGAAGAUACCGACGAAUGUCCGCAUCUUCACACUCGCCCUUGUUAUUAGUCCUGCAGCAGAGUGGGACUGGAGUGACUUCCCAGCUUCGUUCGACAAGGCCGAUCGAAUUGAUCUGAGGGAGGUCAAUUUACCCGUGCCUGAGGAACUGAAGACGGCUAUGGAGCUUUCGAAUCCAAAGAAAGCUCCAGGUGCAGCAUGGGAAAUGCUCAGCUGGGUCUUCAACGCAAUAGCGGGUGGGUCACCUGCUUCUGACUCCAAGGGCAAAUGCGUUGUCGAGUACAACUGCGGCAGACUAUUCUUUCGAGCCGCACUACUCAAGGGUGUCCCGUGUGUUGCGGUGACAAACUCCAUUGAAGAGGUGACUUCAAUGGAGCAUAUAAUUACAGUUGCCAAAGAAAAACAGUAUCUUCUCUGCGAACCUGGUGAGUACGCACUUUAAGUUUAAAUGUUAUCUCACAAGCUCUGUAUGCAGGAGCGUGGCCACCCCCAGAUGCUGAAACGGCGUUAACAGCUACUGUUGAAGAUACCCAUGUUGGGCCGAGCUCACAACCUGCACAAGGUAAGGUCACGUGAGGACUCGCGCCAUUUUGAUUAUAGAUCGUUGUGAAUAUUCAGACACGAGGACUGAAAAGCGCACUAGUGGCGCGUCGAAGAAGGACAAACAGACAAGCAAUAGGAAAAAAGGAGGUACAAAUUAUAUUUGCAAUGGCGUGUGGUCUCAUGCCAUUCCUUGCAGGAGACACUUCUUCAAAGGCAAAACAGGCAAGCACCAGCCAAGCUCAAACUGACAGUGGUCAUAAAAAGCGAAAGCACGUUGGACAGUCGUCGGGAUCGAUUCGAAAAGGAAGAAGGGCAACGAAAAGAUGAUAGGUAAUGCCUCGUGGUUAUGGCGUGUGUGCUCAUGCCAUUCAUUGCAGAUCAAGGGCUGAGUGAAAGCAGCCAGUCACCACCUCCUGACUCAGAUUCCUAUGGCGGACUCCCCUUCCCCAAUCUCAAUGGAGAGGUACAAUGGAUGAGGGAUGCUUUUCAAGUCAGGGCCACGUUUUUCUCAUCUCGUCGUCUUCGAAGGGUGUAAGAACGUGCAGAAACCAUGUUAAGACAGUGGGGUGAGGAUACGGUCCUAGGUCACGCACUAAAACAGGCUAUGGAUGUCUUGUAUUUUGACAUGGAGACUCGGCCAGAUGAUUUUCCCAAGAUGGUCCUGGAAGAACAAGCCAUCCAGCCUGAGCAGCCUAUGGAAGAAAUGCAGGAGGGGGAUGAGAAGCCAGAGAAAGAUAAUGAGUAGGAAGAGCAGAAGGACGAAGAAGAGGACAAAGAAGAGGAGGACGAAGAGGACUUGGAUGGUCCUCACAAUGGUGACGAUCACAAUAACGACGACGACGAUGAUGACGACGAUGGCCAGCCUGAGGUGGCCAAAGAGCAGCGGAGGAAGGUCAUACAAGACAAACCAUCAGGUAAAUAAUAGUACAUCCAUUCCUAACCUUUUACCAUUUCUAACAUUGUCUAUGUAGGUCGCAGAGCAAAUGGUAAGUAGAGAUUAUUCAGUUGAAUUUACAAACUCUAGCCUUUAGUGUCAAGGAAGGAUAGUGCCAAGCAAGGGUCGAAACGUAUGUCCAAUCUUUCAGAAUCAGCAGUGCGCCCAAGUGAUAUCGGUCCUAGUUCCUCAAUAGCAGUUGAUGGUAAAUACAGUAUAGUCGAUUCAAUGUGCUAAUGAGUUUGUUUUUAGUAGCACAGGAGGAUACCAUCUCAAUCGAAGGGAGAUAUUUGGACAUGCAUAUGGAUCUGCCAGUGGACUCUACUUGCCUGCAAGAGUCAUCAGAGCUGGUGGAGGCUACUAUCCAUAUCAACGCCAAGCAAGCUGACCAUGCUCCACUUGAUGCUGCCCAUACCACUGAGUCAAUCUUGUCCACGUAUCCAACUGACGGUGACCAGGCGCCAUUGGACCCGCAUGAGGCCGCCCCAGCCACCGAGCCGGUCAUAUCCUCAUUUCCAACGGACUCAACGUGUGCCCAAUCGUCUGACUACGCACCGUUGGAACCUCCCUACACCGCCCCUGCUGCCUGUUCGGUCAUGUUCACUUUGCCAACGGAGGCACCAGCUGAAAUGGCAUGUGAUCACACGCCAUCGGAACCACCCCAUGCCACUGUUGAGCCAGUUGUACCAGAGUCUACAGUUGAAAUGGCAUGUGCCCACAUGCCAUCGGAUGCGAUUGACCCCACAUUGCAGAGGAGAGUAUUUCCGCCCUUCACGUUUCCUCGACCAAAACCCUCUCAACGACCAUCGGGAGCACCAUUCGCUAAUAUUAUAGAUGGUAAAAUUGACUUGCACCAUUUUUUAUGCUGACGCAUUUCAUUUCAGAGUCACGGCGAAGGUACUGUAUCGUUUUUUAUCUGAACGGUGUCCUUUUCUCCCAUGAGCGUGGCUCGUCCUCGAAUGUCACUGCACCCUCCAAAGCCUGCGGUCGCAAGUUGGUCAAAAGAGACAAAUUCACAUUAAUCACACGGGAGAAACUGCGGGAUCUAAUAAUGACCAUGCGACACUUAAAACAGAGGGCCGGGUUCAAUUUGCAAUUGGGAGUUUGGACAUCCAUGAUGCGCCACAAUGCAUUAACGUUGCUACAGAUGAUGCACGAUCAGACGCGAGUAAUAUUACCAUUUGACUUUCUCCUAACGCAGGAGGAUUGCUUGACUAUGGUCCAUGUGAGGGGUAGCAAGCCCAUCUUCGUCAAGCCAGAGGCUGUAGUGAUGAACCGGACUACUAGGUCAAGUGAAAUCCUCAUCAUCGAUGACUCGCCGAUUAAAACUGCAGUGAACACGCACACAUAUGCAGUGCACCCCAUCUCUUGCAGUAUGGAAACUAGGGAGAAGAAACCAUAUGUUCUGGGGGACCUUGCAAAACGGCUUAGAGCGAUGGUGAUAGAGAACCAGCCAGUCCAGGAGGUGGCUGCAGAAAUCAACCAAAUGGCAGAUGGAAUGGUAUAUCAGAAGCCAUUUGAUCGGACAGACACCAGUCAUCAUUUAUGGCAUGUAUAUUGUCUAGCCAAGCACUAUCCGCAUCUCCAUAAUCUGCUCAACCGGAUGGGUUGUUCGACCACUAAACAUGAGCAUGGACGUAUUAGAGAAGAGAUGGCAUUACUAUUGGGUUUAAAUCCUGAUAGUGUGGAGAGUGAUGAAAUUCCAAGAUUAUUGUAUAGGCGUUGGAGGCAAAAAAUAACAGUCUGAGAUGGCAUGUAUUUACUUAAAAAUGUAACUUAUUAUGGCAUGGGGUUCCAUGCCAUUGUAUUAAUAUUAAAAGACAAUUCUUUGAGAGGAUUUGCAUUAUACUAGAAGUGUUACAACAUGUUAUUGGAAGUCUACGAAGUUGUUUUAUUAAUAAGGGGAAAGUAAGGAUUGAAUGGGGACUUGGGCUCCACCUAGACUCGGAGCAACUGAGCCAAUAUUAAAAGGAUGGAAAGAAAUUGGACGACGAUGACAAGGAGAAGAGAGAGGUGAAGCAGUGGCAGGGGGAGGAGAAGUGAUUGAGUAGACAUUUCCUUGUUUAAAAUAAAAUGGCAUGUGCCUCAAUGCAGUUGAAUUUUGUUAUAUUUAUAUACUAUAUAAAGGUUUGGAAAUCUUAUUUUACAAGUGGGAUAAUGACAAUUCCCACUUUAACGAAAUAGAGCUUUUUUACUCUCUUUAUCAUACAGUUGGUGUUCUCUUAGUUUCUCAAACACUUUCGUCAAGUGUUCGGUAUGCUCCUCUAGCAUUUUGCUAUAGAUCAGAAUGUCAUCAAUAUAGAUGACCACAAAGUGAUCCAGAUAGGGUACAAAAAUGUGGUUCAUCAAUGCCGAAAAUGUUGCUGGCUCAUUGCAAACCCCAAAGGGCAUCACUAGAAACUCAAAGCUCCCAUACCUUGUUUGACAGGUUGUCUUCUCGACAUCUUCCUCUACUACCCUGAGCUGGUAGUAUCCUGACCUUAGGUCAAUCCUCAAGAAGUAUUUUUCUUUUCCCAACCUAUCGAACAGGUCCUCAAACCUUGGCAAAAGGUAUUUGUUCUUCUUUGUAUACUUGUUGAGCAACCGGUAGUCUAUGCACAUGCGCAUAGAUCCAUCUUUCUUUUUCACAAAUAAUACCGACGCCCUAUAUGGUGACUUACUCAACCUAACAUACCCUUUGUCCACCAACUCCUCUAGUUGGCGCUCGAGCUCCUCAAGUUCUUUUUUGUUCAAACGAUAGGGGGGACGAACCAUCGCCUCAGCACCCUCGACCAACUCAAUUUUAUAUUCUAUCGAUCAUGUGGGGGGCAACCCCGCCGGUAGCUCCUCUGGCAUGGUAUCCUGGAAUUGGUCUAACACCUGCUGGAUCACUAAAGGUACUUUUUCCAUUCCCAUCUUUUUGUCACUCUUCACUGAGAGUAAGCACAAAAAUGCUGCCUUGGUUCCUUUAGUGAGUUGUCCUCUCAUGGACACUAAGUUUAGGCAGGAAUGUUUGGCCUUGCAUUGCCCUACAUUUAGAUCUUGGGCCUCCACCCUGGAUCUUCUUCCUUGGGCAUUCGCUAAUACCACAAGGUUCCUACCUUGUCUAUGCAGGGCUACCACGAACCGAUUGAACCAAUCCAUCCCGAAGAUUACAUCAAAUCCCACUAUAUCUAACACGGUGAAAUCCAUAUCUACUUUCCAUGUCCCUACUUCAACUCUCGCUUGUCAAAGUACUUCAUUGGUGCUUUGGCUGCCUUGCACAAACUCUAUAGUCCUUGGUUCGCCUAGCCACUGCACUAUUAGUCCGGCUUGCCGGACUAUGUCUGCAGCCACAAAAUUAUCUGAAGCACCCGUGUCAAUAAGGAUCUUAACAAAGCUACCUUCGAGGGGCGCGGAGUUGAAGAGUUGAGCUCACGAGUUGAGCUCAAUUUUCAAUUGUAAUUUAGUACAAAUAUUAUAAAUUUUAAAAUUUUAAGGUUAUGGCGAACCUAAUAAUUUAAUAACUCUCUAUAUAUUAUAUAGAUAAAAAUGUUCUAAAGAACACUUUUUGUUCUAAUAAUUUAAAUAUUUACUACAUGCAAUGAUAGGGACAUUUGUUAGAACAUAAAAUAAAAUGUUUGCAAAAAGAGUAUUCUUGUCACUUCUUUAAAUUUGUACUCUAUCCUUUCUAGCUAGUAAAUGUUAGGUUUGUCAGAAUUAAAAAAUUAUUAAAUUUGAAAUAAGAUUAUAUGUAAAGCCAUAUAACCGUUUGAAAGGAAAAAAAAUAACUGUUGAUGUAAGCUUAUUGCAUAUAAAAGAAAGACUUGGUUCUUUGUAGAAUACAUUCUUGAGGGGUUUGUCGUAGCAUACUAUCUAGAAUUUAUAGAUCUUCAUUCACAUUCUCAUUCGAAAAAAGGAAAAUACACCCACAAAUGUCUAUGGGUUUUAGUGCUGGUAAUUUUAACUCUCACAAUCUUUCUUCCUAGGGUUCAAGGGCUAGGAGAUGCAAUAACUAUCCCAUUGCACAGCAUAACCAAAUCACACAAGAGAAUGAAAGAGAGGAUAGUGAUGAUAGUGAUCAUGAGUUGGAGAUAAAUGCAAUGACAGAGGGUGCAACAAAUUGGGUGAAAAAGAAUGCCCUCUUACUUGUUUUAGAAAAGUGCAAUUCUGCCACUUUCAAGAAGUGUCCCAUAUGUUUUCUAGCGUCUGGUGGAAACAAUGGCAAUGAUCAGUAUGAUGGUAUAUAUGCUCUUGCGACACAUUGCAACAUCACGCAUCUGAAAGACUACCAUGAAAUCUUUUUUGAGAUGGUAAAGAUAGAAAUGGAGACACACGAGUACUAUGGGCAGUAUUGCGAGAAGAACACUCGGAAGCAUAUAAAAUGAAAAGUGAAAUGAAAAAGCACAUUUUUAUUAAUUAUAUCAAGUAUAAUAAGUUUUAUUGAUAGAGAAUAAACAUCGAUAGUGUUGGAGAAAUCUAAUUAGCUCCAAAAGUUUUCUGCAACUCAGCAAUAGUAAGGCUUGCUUGGUAUAUAUGAAUAUCCACUUUAGGAUCCUGGUGCAAGAUGUUGAUGAAGAUAUAGUACAUAUGCUUGCAAGGAGCAUAUGCCUUCCCAUGUUCCUCACGCUUCGUAAAGUCUAGAUAUGUGCAAGAAGGAAAGUCGUGAAUGGGAAUUGUGUACUCUCCACCUUCUGUUUUGACUGUGUACUCCUUUGCAGGCACAGUGAUGUACUUCGUGGAGAGAAUCUCACACUCAAGUGUUUGAGCCAAGUUUAUUUUACCUUGCUUCUGCUUGGAGAUGGUACCAAUAAAUUUAACUGCCUUACCUUUUCGUGUUGGCCUCCUGUGCAUCUCUGUAGGAAUAGUCCUGCUCUUGUCACUCAUGUCUCCAACUCUCCUCUCAAGAUUAAAACCAGAUUUCUCAAGGUUUUCAAUCUCAUCCGAGGUGAGUGCGACCCCAUUAGCAACCGGCCAUUCUUUAGGUACUGCAUCAGGUUUAGUCACUAUAGUGUCUUCAAGCUGCUUCGUAUGGUUGGCAUCGGUGUUGCAACAAUAUAGCCAACACCAUCUUGAAAAUCCUACUUGCUUUCGUUCCCCAUAGAAAUAUGGGGCUGGAACAGAAGCAGAUUUUUCACCACGAAUCCAAGCCCAACACUUGCCCCUCGGAAGCAUCCCCACACACCUUACAUUCGAUUUUGCUGGCACGCGUCGGAUUGCCCAUUGCUUCGGCUCUACGCUACAGUAAGCAAUUUCAACCUGUUGCAAUGCACUCUCUUCAUCAGCCACUUGAGGUGGCUCGGUCCGAGAGUGGUGUCUUGGAGCAGAAUGGUACUCGACAUCAGGCCUGUGAGAGCUUUUUGCUUCAAGGUCCAUACCAACAUCUUCCCCAACAAAGGAAAAACGACACUUUGAGCGGACAGUCUUCAUAUCACCAAUAGAAGCUCGGGGAGUGUACUCCAUAGAUGUGCCACGGACCACUUCCUCAACUGCAAUUGCCACUAUUCGGGCGGGUGGAGUUAAUUUUCUCUUCAUCCUAUCAUGUAACAUCUCAAUAGAAGGCCCUGUUCCCAUGUAUCUUCCUUCCCCGAAUGCCAGUGCUUUUGAAGAUUGCUCUAUAGCACAUAUCAAAUCUAAUAGACAGGCUUCGUAUAGACUCAUCUUCCCUUUCCCUGCCUCAGAGGAACGCCAACUCCAAUGCUUACUUUCAGAGAGAUUCACAGUUGGGGUGUAUGCGAGGUCCUCAAGUGGUUGAUCCUAAUGGAAAAGGCAAUAUUAAAAGGUAAUAAAAGGAGAAGAAAAAAUAUAAACCAACCUGAAAAGAGUGAUGUCCCCAUUGGAACAUCCUAACUUCCCACCAUCCUAACCAUGACUCAAGUUGUGGUAAGCAACUUACGUCUGUAUGGCCAUCUUCACACCACCACAUUCGGAUCUCAUUUGCUUUUGCCUCAUGCUCUUCUUCAGAAGGUGCAAUUUGCCAUUCUUUGCACAACUCCUUAAAUAUUGAUUGAAACUUUGGUUUGAUAAGGUGGCAGUGCUGGUUUAGGCUUUGAGCCCAAUGGAACUCACAAAUCCUCUCACGACCUUCCAAUGGUUGACCAUUCCCAAAAACUGCUCGGAUACCAUUCUAGUUUGCACCAGCCCCAUCUGCCAUGAAACCAUGAAAGUUUGCAGGUUUACCAGUCUGCUUUAGGACAAUAUCAGAGAGGGACUUCCAAAAUAUUUCCUAUGCUGUCUAGUCUUGUACUUUAAACUCUGCUGUCGCAAUUGUUAAGUUACAACGUAGCCUAUGAAAACAUAAAUAUUAUAACAAUUUCAAUAUAAUGAGAAUAAAAAUUACCUUGGAUCAUACACAUGAGCUCCCAUGGUUGUCCAACCGGAUACACGCUCCAUAUGGUCAAAAUGUACCCAUGCAUUUGCAAGGUCACUGGACCCAAACAUGUCCAUUCGGGAGACAAGAUCUAUGCCAGAGCCAGGGCCCAUGGUAGACAUUUUGAAGAUGAAGGGGCGCUCUUGCUCAUUCACAACUUAGUUUGGAAACAAACUUCCGUGGAUGAACUCGUAUGGACAGGUCUGUUUCAAUUCAAGGAUGGAGUCAAUUUUUGAUUGCAACUUCCCCUCUUGAGAUUCACACAUCCAAGAUUUUAUCCUAAACAAUAUAAUGUAAAAAAAAAUUAUUAUUAUAACGUAUGAAAAAUAACGGAUGUACCUCCUUAGGCUAGUAGCAGGUUGUACUCUUUGUAGUAAGUCCCGCAAGCUAGCCUCAUUUAGUUGAGUCUUUUGGCAACCUAGAUUGAGUAAAGUAUUUGCGAUAAAAUCCUUGAGGACGGUCUUUUGAACAUGCUUCGGAGUUGCAGAUGAGUUUCUCAUAGUCUCUUCCUGUACAACAUCUUUGAAACGGUUGAGAGAACUCCUUUGUAUCCCUUCCUGCAUUGGAUGCAUAUAUGUGCUAACAUGCACUGCAGCUCUUCUAGCCACUCCAUCCCAUGGAAGAAAGUAGUACAUCUUGGCCUCGCAGAUAGCAUGACAUAAAGGAGCAUUUUUGCAGAAUCGACAUUUGAAUCCAAUAGCAAUGGUGUCACAGGCUAGAGGAUUGACUGCAGACCCUUCGAAAAAUAUAGAGUUUCUAGAGCGGUCUCGAUUGCAUGCUUCAUCCACACAAUCUAAAUGCCCGCCACAAUGAACUAUAGACACUGUGCCUUCAAAAUGGUGGACAUCCUGCUUGGUUUCCAUCCCCUUCCGUUUGGAACCUGUGCUGCUGACAAGAGGUGGUAGCUCGAAGAAAAUGUUGCCAUUGUAGGAGGAUGGAAGCUCACUCACAGGCCUAUACAAAAACAAGUUCACGUCGAUUGAGAGGUGUGAAAACUGGAAAGCAUUGCUAACGGCUUUGAAUAUUGCUGAAGUUGGAGUUGGAGUUGGAGCUGGAGCUAGUGAAUUUUGCGCCGACACUAGCAUGACAUCUCCACUUGAACUAGAAGAGGACGAGUGGAUAACGACUGACUCUUGCUUCACAUUCACUUUCGUUGGAGCGCAUUUUGGCAUUUUGACUGGAGAUCCGAACACUCGAAUCUCCUUCAACUUGGAAUUUUGUAAAUCCCAUUGUUGUCCACCCUCACCCACACUAGAAAGAAGAAACUCCAAGUAUGCAACUAUACCGGUGUCGUUGCGGAUCACAGCCUCUAAAGAAAUAGAGCUAAGAUGAAGAUCAAAACGCCGACAUAAAAAACUUUCAGAAACAAUACUUUGAGAAAAUGAAAGAGGUGGGUGAUCUCGAAAAUGAAGAAGAAACCUCUCCAUCCUUCUCAAUAGGUUUUGGAUUUCUCUCUCUUUAUGCUACUUGUAAAAAUCUAUAGUGAAACAUAAUUGAAAUUUAAAUAGAGUAAUAAGAAGACAACGUACAAAAUGAAUUUAAAUUCUAUAACAAAUUUAACAUGUGUAAGUGUGAUAGUAAUAAUAUUACUAUCAUCAAUUAUGAUGUCUGAUGCAUGUAUACACAUAGAUCCAAGGAAAGAUUUUCAGCACGUGAAGUUUGAUAGUUAAUAAUGAUACAAGUAAUGACAUUCUGUUAUAACAUGUCAAACCAAGAGAUCCAAUCUAACUAUCAGCACGUGUGAUAUGUCAAGUUGUCAAAUUUUAAGUGGUAGAUGAUAAUAAAUCUUGUCAAAUCUUAUUCUUCAAUGACAGAUUUGAUUCGUAGUACAACUCAAGUUUUAUCUAUAAUUGUGAACACUGCUCAAUGACAUUUAAAGCACGUGCCUAUUGUUUAGGAUCUAAUACAACACAAAAUAAAUUUCUGGAUGAGGAUUCAUCCAUUCAUAGAUGGAUAUGGUAUAACAUAUUUUAAUGUGCCUUAUUUAUACUCUUUAAAGUUCUUGUAACGAUUCCAAAAUAUGUACAAAAUAUUGAUGAGAAUGCAUCCUUUCUAGAUAAUUUGUAAAAUAUAAUAUCAUAUCCCUAAUAACAGAAAUGUUGAUAGGUGCUAGUUAUACCAUCAUUAAAAUAUACAAAAUAAAGAAGCAUAAUUUACAUAUAAUAAUAAUGAUAAGAUAAAAUAAGAUCAAAGAUAUUGUGAUGGUUGAGAUUUAGGUUAUUCGGAAUGAACGGCCAGGAUUAGAGAUUGGUUAGGGUUAGGGCAGCUGUCAGGAUUAGGGUUAUGGUAGCCGCCAAGAUUAGGUUACUGUUCGCAUCGUGAGUGGAGCACGCGAGAGAUCGAGAGAUUGAGCGCGAAGGAGAUCGAGGGAUUGAGCGCGAAGGAGAUCGAGGGAUUGAGCACGAAGGAGAUCGAGGGAUUGAGCGUGCAAGAGAUCGAGAGAUUGAGCGCAUGAGCGGGAGAGAUUGAGCGCGCGAGCGGGAGAGAUUGAGCACGCGAGCGGGAGAGAUUGAGCGUGCGAGCCGGAGAGAUUGAGUGCACGAGCAGGAGAGAUUGAGUGCGCGAGCGGGAGAGAUUGAGCACACAAGAAAUCUAGAAAUCAAGGGAGGAAAGAUGCCACCAAGGGUGAGUUUCGAUUUGAUUGCUUCCACUUCCAUUUUUUGAGUCCAUUGCUUCCCUUUUUUUUUCUUGAUUGCUUCUUUGCUGGCCGAGCUCGAGCUCGGGCUGGCCACCUCGGGCACUUUGGCUGCCCAGGGGGCCGAGGUUAUUCAAAUAACCUCGGCCCCUUAGCGAGCAAAACUGCCUGAGCUCAAGCUCGGGCCAGCCACCUCGGGCAGUUUUGCUUGCCGAGGGGCUGAGGUUAUUUGAAUAACCUCGGCCCCUCGGAGAGCAAAACUGCCCGAGCUCAAACUCGGGCCGGCCACCUCGGGAAGUUUUGCUUGCCGAGGGGCCAAGGUUAUUCAAAUAACCUCGGCCCCUCGGCAAGCAAAACUGCUCAAGCUUGAGCUCCGGCCGGCCACCUUGGGCACUUUGGCUGCCCAGGGGGCCCAGGUUAUUCAAAUAACGUCAGCCCCUCGGCAAGCAAAACUGCCCGAGCUCGAGCUCGGGCUGGCCACCUCGGGCACUUUGGCUGCCCAAAGGGCCGAGGUUAUUCAAAUAACCUUGGCCCCUCGGCAAGCAAAACUGCUCAAGCUCGAGCUCGGGCUGGCCACCUCGGGCACUUUGGCUGCCCAGGGGGCCGAGGUUAUUCAAAUAACCUUAGCCCCUCGGCAAGCAAAACUGCCCGAGCUCGAGCUCAGGCCGGCCACCUCAGGCAGUUUUGCUUGUCGAGGGGCCGAGGUUAUUCAAAUAACCUCGGCCCCUCGGCGAGCAAAACUGCCCGAGGUCGAGCUCGGGCCGGCCACCUCGGGCAGAUUUGCUUGCCGAGGGGCCGAGGUUAUUUAAAUAACCUCGACGCCUCGGCAAGCAAAACUGCUCAAGCUCGAGCUCGGGCCGGCCACCUUGGGCACUUUGGCUGCCCAGGGGGCCAAGGUUAUUCAAAUAACAUUGGCCCCUCGGCAAGCAAAACUGCCCGAGCUCAAGCUCGGGCCGGCCACCUCGGGCACUUUGGCUGCCCAGGGGGCCAAGGUUAUUCAAAUAACCUCAGCCCCUCGGCAAGCAAAACUGCCCGAGCUUGAGCUCGGGCCGGCCACCUCGGGCACUUUGGCUGCCCAGGGGGCCGAGGUUAUUUGAAUAACCUCGGCCCCCUGGGCAACCAAUGUGCCCGAGGUGGAGUCUAGGCCCACUUGAUUUUUUUUUUCUCUUUGACUGUUUGAAUUUCUCAUUAUCUUUAUUUAGUUUGACUAAUAAAACUUUUUCUCUUGCAGAAAAGGAAAAUUGUAACACAUAAAAAGGUGGUUGGAGCCAAGACAUGAGAAGUUCAAUUUGGCACUAACGACAACAUCACAAUCGACAUGUCCAUUGGCACAACAAAGACACAUUUAGUUAGAGAUUCACCACCUCCACCACCAUCACCUCCACUAUCACCACCUCCACCACCGCCAUCGCCACCUCCACCACCUCCAUCACCACCUCCACCACCUCCAUCGCCACCGCCACCACCACCAUUGCCACCACCACUGCCACUAUUGCCUCUGCCCCCGCUGCCACCGCCACCACCACCAUUGCCACCACCACUACCACUAUUGCCUCUGCCCCCACCACCACCGCCACCACCACCAACGCAAAUCCCUAAAGUUGGGCAAUCUAGUGGUGUUCACGAUAGGGAACCUGAGGAACAGCUUGGAGCUGAAAGAGUUGCAGACCUUCCUGACAAUGUGGUGGACAAGCGCUUCCAAGAGACUAUUAUGUGGACAAGGGAAAAAGCAGUUCACCAAACACUUGAGGCGCUCAAGUGGCCAGGCCCUUGUGACUUGAUCAGAGAAAUCCCCCUUUGCCAUUUGCAGCAGACGAACCUUGUCCACAAAGCAUCCAAGUAUGUCAACCCGGAUAUAUACAGCUUGUUCAAACAAAAUGGCCUUGCAACAAAUAUCGGUAUGUUUCUAGUCUCUUUUUGCAAGCCAGGAACAACGAAGAUCAUUACUGUCACACCCAAGAUUGUGAAUAGCUGGGAUCCUAUUUGGAGGAGGAAGUCCCUAGAAUUUGAUGACAUGCUUAUCAGACAUCCUGAGACUCGACAACUUGCGGGGACAAUGUUUCAAAUUAUUGACGGUAACCACCGAUAUGGAGCUUGGAUGAAGUGUAUCGACGAUCAUUUUCACGAUGAUCCCGUCUACCAUAUCAACGUUCCAGUCGGCCAUGUCUACGCGAGGGGACCUUUAGAUGUCAACAGACUUAUCUUGGCCUGCCAAAAGAUCAAUGCGUAAAUUUUAUAAUUUUACCUCUAACUCCACUUUAACUUGUUUUGUUGUGUUUAAAUGUAGGCUUGGGCAAUUCGCUGUUCAAAAACAAAAUCUUGUCCAUGACAUCGAGCAACUUCGAUUUUUGGCAGACUUGAGUGAGGAUGACAUCCGCCUACAUUAUGGUGAUGAUCUCGCAACACUUGUUCGGCACUCACACACUCGAAAUGACGGUACAACUUGGUUCAAUAACCCAAUCAGUUUUAUGCUCAUUGUAUGGUGUAAGGUAUGUCUUUCCUUUUUAUUUUAUAAAAGCCUCUUUUAAUUGUUUUGGUUUUUAGCCUUUGGUGAAGGUCAAGCAAGAUGCUUACGAACUUGCAUAUCUGGAGAAGAGUUGGGAAGAGCUCUCAGCUGAGUUUGUACAAAUUGAGCACAAAAUUCAGCAUGCAAAGUCCUCAAAGUUGAAGAAACUAGUAUGCAUUGCAGACAAUCGCAGGCCGAAGGAGUGGCUAGAGACUAUAGCCGAAAUUUCUUCUCAUGAAUGUAAGUUAUUUAUCACACUUCAUUUUUCUUAAUUAUGCAUAUGUUACUUUUGCAGUGAACAAAAGUCCAGAUGACAUGAUUUACAAUAUUACAAAAUCGAAGCUUCCAUAUAAGCAACAGAUAGAGACUCUAGAGUUCCUCAAUGUCUGCUUGAUGAACAGAGAGAAAGGACUGCCAGAACUAUUUGAGAACAUGAUGAGAAGGGCUGUCUACAUCACGCAAACUAUAAGUGAAGGUGAGAAGUUCUUGGCACCACACAUUGGUGACGAUCUAGAUGGCACAUUCAUGUCUUUCGACACCUACAUCAACACAUCAUUGGAAGGGAUCGAAGAGGGGUGGCUGCUAGAGAAGUCUACAAGCACAACAACUUAUGAUUGCUAACAUGGUCAACCUUAUUUCAUGCGACGUGCAGCUUAUAGGUAUAAUAUGAUUUCUAAGACUGUUUUUUAAUAUAUAUUGUUUAUAGGUAUCUUCGAUAUAGAGGCAUGCCAUUUGAGGCACUAGUUUGCACUCGACUUGUUGCAAAGGGUGUAAAAGAUGGAGGAAUGUACCCAACAAUGUUUGCGAGAGUUUCGAAGGCACAGAAGAUAGAAUGCCCUUGGGAGUUGGAGCUCCUAGGGAAGGAGACCUCUACACUAGAUCGCGAGGAAAUUAUCAAUGCUAGCAACGAUGGCAAUGCAAAUGACGAUGGAGAUGAGGAUGAGGAAGCUCCAGAUCAAGUUCAUGUUCCACCACCAGACAGUCAGGAACAGGCUCCAAUUCAACCAUCAAACAACCAAGAUCCAGAUUAGGUUCUACCAGUAAAUAACGAUGAUCAAGUGGUUCACAGAAUAUCACGUCGACCUCGAGGUAAGCAAAAGUGAAUUUUACAAACUAAAGGUGGUAAUACAUGUUUUUUGCAGCAAUGACUGUUGGUAGUAAUUUCUUUCCAGCUCGAUGAGAUGCUCGUGAAGAGGAGUUGGAGGAACUCUCAUUGACAACAUGCCAUAUGACGGUAUCAUACUAUUUAUUACUUAUUUCAUUCACUUAGCUCUUUUAUAGGUCCGUCCUAUGUCCCCAAUAACACAACGAGGCAUUGUAGGUAUCUUCAUUGGCUCUUAUAGUAGAUUAUUGACAUCUUUCAGGGAAGACGACAUCAACAUGGAUAUACGCCGCCAGUUCAACCGUUGGUGCUGAAAGAUACAAAGGCCCGUGCUCCCAGUUGCGGACUUCAUUCUCUUUGAUUUUCCAAAUGGUCUUUCAGAUAUCAAUGGGAAAGUUGAGGAUUAGAACUUUUUCACACCUGACCACUUGCGCGAUGCAUUCCUAUUGUCCAAAGCACUUAUGCUCGAAGCUGGCCAUGUCAUCUUCAUCCUACCGAACAACCCCAACUAGAUGUAUGAGCUUAUGAUGUGCGCAGCAGAAGUUCAUUUCAAGUCAUUCUCUUCUGGGUGCAUCAUGGAUCCUAUUGGCGUUGAUAUGAGGGGCGUCUAAGGGAAGCUUGAAAAGGUGAGUAUGUAUUUUAUAUUUUUAUCUAAUUUCUAAACAUUUUUAUUUUCCAAGUUAUGAUGUGGACCUAUCAUGCCUUUUGCAGAAACACACAUGAUGGGUUUCGUGGUAGCGAACAUGCAGCAUGUGUUUUGCCUGAGUACGACAGUUCCACUAACAUCAUACCCAACCUUGUGGAUGAGCAAAUCCGCAAUACAUUUCCAAGGUACCGAUUCCAAACUCCAUCAGCAAUGCAAGUCUUGCUUGAGCUCUAUUGCCCACCAAAUGGUGUUGUGAUUGAUUGCACAGCAGGUAGCGGUUUUAUGGUGGAGGCAGCACGUGACUCUGGUAGGUCGGUGUUUGCUAUUGAAGAACAUCAUUUCUUCAAAUGCCGGCUCAGAGGAUUUCGUGAGUUGCCUUCAACCUCAAGGAGGUAAAUUAUGUUUAUUAAAAUUUCAAUAUAUAUUUCAUUCUAUUUUAUAGAUCACAGUCACCUGGAGCUCCUAGAAUUGGAGGCUUUGGAAGUCUCCCUAACUAUGCAGAAGCCAUGGCUCAACAUAUGCAAACUGAAUCUUCCCCACAAUACCAAUAUAGGAGGAAGUAUAAAAGAAAUCAUUAUAUUGAUGAUGAGGUAGAAGAAAGUUAAUUGCAUCCUUACAUAAAAUGGAAAGCUUGUUAUAUAUUAGAUGUCAGUGAAAGUGUCAGAUGUCAGUAAAAUUGUCAGAUGUCAGUGUCAGUGUCAGAUACCAUAAUUAUAGAUUAUCAUUCUCACCUGUCACCAUCACUUUGUAGCACUUGUGUGUUGCCAUCUCCUCCUUCAACAUUUUGUAAACAAUUGUAUGUGAUAUGAUAGCACCUUCUAGAACAAGGUAUGUUACCUACAACUAAUAUCAUUUUAUUAUAUUUUUUCUUUUAAUAGUGACAAUACUAUAGUAUAGUAAAGUAAUUCUAGAUCUUAUAUUCCACUAUAGGGUGGCCUAAAAACCCCAUAUUUUGCACUAGCCAAUGCAGUGUUUCCCAAGGGGAUGUUGUUCCUCACCAUGAAGCAAUAGUGGGUAUGUGUCUGUAACUCAUUCUUGAAUCUAUUGUACAUCCACACGUGCACAUUUUCUAGACCUACCAUAAUUUUUACAGUGCUCAAGAAAAGUUUGUAAACCCAUAGAGCCAUUUGUCUUGUCCAAGAAAAAGUAGCAUAUUGGACACCGAAUGUAAUAGCGUUCUGUGCUUUCAAGUAGUCCUGCCAUGUCAGGAGCAAGAUCUUGCAAAAACAUGUGGCAUUGCUCUUGAAGCGCUGGAGGCAAUCCCUCUCUAGUAACAAGAUCCGGAAUUUCACAUAUAGGGAGCUCUAAUUCAGCUUCACUAUAGCCCUCAGCAGAAAAAGGAUUGUUAUGUGGAGGUGAAGGUGGAAUGUUGGUAGAAUUUAGGGAUGGAGAUGGAGAUUGAUAUGAAAUACUGGAGGGCCAAGUACGAUUAGCAAUGGGUCUCCUUUGAGCCAUUUCAAUAUAAACUUCUAAGGAGCUCAAGGAGAACAAAAAACCUAUAAUGACUAUAACUUUUCUAGAUAGUUUAUAUACUAAGUUUUAGUCUUGGGAAUGAGGUUUAUUUAUUAUGACACUGACAAUACUCAGAUUCUUUAAAUGUCAGUCUUGGAAAUGGGGCUUCAUAAUCAUAGCUUUCUUGUAAACAUAAGAGCUUCUAGAAUUUUAGAUUAUCGUGUAUACACAUGCUCUAUCAUUAUAAUGAAUCCUACUUUGCUACACAUAUAUUCUUUUCUACACACGCCAAAUGUCUAAGGAAAUAAAUUGCAAGGAAAUAUAGACCACAUUAUAGUGGCAGAGCACAUUGGCACGCUACCAUUCUCUCAUGUGAGAUUGCCUUUUAGUCUUGGAAAUGUAGAUAAAGUUGAUUCUUUGAUGUGAUAUUACUUUUGAGUCUUUCGAAAGAUUUUGAUUUCUUUUAUCAUUAUUUACAAAAAAUUCCAAAAAACUUUUAAUGAGGAUUCACUGCAAAAUAUACCUUGGUCUUAUCAUAUGAGAGGAUUGCAAUAUAGGCAAGCAAUAGAGUUUUUAAUAUGAAUUAAUAUGUAAAUUACAAAUGUCAUGGAAAGUUUUAUGGAGUAGAUUUCUUGGUGCUUUCCAUUGUGUUGUUCAUUUCUUCAUUUCUCUUGCUCUGGACUGUUGUUUCAGAAGUAACAGGAGCAUUUUUAUCAAUCGUGAUACUGGUCUCCACAUUCCCAAAUGGGUAAUAAAGACCAGGAGUGUAAUAUGGAGAUUGUGGUAGUGAAACAAAAUUAACAUUCUCACAUUCCUUUGCACUACAACUCUUACUCAUAGAUCUUGUAUUUUCCUUGCUUCCCAUCUUCUCAAGAACCCUAAAAAAUCUUUUGAAUGAAGGAAUAGUAUCUACAGCUGUAAAAGUAUUCAAAAUAUUAAGUAGUCAAAUCAAAUAUGACAGCUGUAACAGUUGUCAUAAUAAAAUAAUAUAGUUUUAUAAAAGAUAGGUUCUCAUGAACUUUGUCUUUUUUAAACAAUUCAAUCUUAUAGAAACUUUUAACAUAGAUAUUUACGUAUUUUAAUAUUUUAAAAUUUGCUAGAACCUUCAUUUGUUCAAUUUAGAUCUCCUUUGUAAUAUUUCUUAUUGACUAUGUUGACUUGAGUUGACUUGUGUUGAAUUGAGCUCAACUCAUGAGCUCAACUCAACUUUGGACCAUCCCCCCUUCGAACUUCCCUCGGAGGGCUAGUAGAUGUCGCAAACGACUCUCUACCAAAGUUGCUCAUGUAAUGAGUAACUUUGAGUUAGGGACUGGAUCACGUACCUCAACUUGGAUUUCACCCAACUUAAUGGCCAUAUUAGCUCUAGCCUUCUUCGGGUAGGGACAUUCCCUCAAUAAGUGUCCUGCUUCACCGCAGUUGUAGCAUAUGUUGUUUCCCACGCUACUAACCAACUUGCCCUUCUUAUCCGUGGGUUUGUCUCUUUUUGUUUGACUCCCCCACGUACUCGCUCGCUGGCCACCAAAUCUACCUUUCCGGAAACCCGAGGAUUCAUUCUUAGAGAAACUCUUCUUGAGUUUUCCUUUGCUAUAUGUUCCCCUUGGUUUGGCCCCUUUGCUAAACGUGGACCCCGACCUCGUCGUUCCCCUUUCGCAGGUUAUCGUUGAAAUGCACUUUGAUAGCCGCAUCCAAUGCUUCUUUGUAAUUGUUCGGGUUCCAACACGUCACCUCGCCGCGAGCCCAGGUUUGCAAGCCUGAUAUGAAGGCAUGGAACACAUCCAUAUCACCCAUAUCCAUGACUACUAUCCUCUUUGCCAUAAAUCCAUUCACAUACUCUUGAAUGGUUCUGGUCUGCUUCAGCCUACUUAGCUCAUCCUGUAGGUGCAGAGUAGCAUUCAGAGGAACGUAUGUCUCACAGAUCCUCGCCUUCAUCAUUUCCCAAGUGGCCACCGGUCCUUUGUUGGCCUCUGUCGUUCUCCACCAAGACUUGGCAUUGUCUGCCAAGUAUGGUUUUGCACAUGGGACCUUCUCCGAGCUCGAUAACUGCAACGCUCGGAAGUAGUCCUCCAUAUUGUAAAACCAAUCUUCCACCACCUUAUAGUCAUUCACUCACUUGAAGACCAGUGGGGGCUUUGGUUUGUACUUGGGAACUGCCUGAGGGACUGAUUUCACUUUAGUCUGUUCGACCUUGUUUAGUUCUGCCUCAGUCCUUACUGAAGGGUCCGAACCUUCUGCGCUACGAGCAUCCGUAGUCUUUCGCUUUUUCUUUCGCUUCUUGUCAUGCUUUAGCUUGUGUACGAGAGUCUCCAGCAGGGCAUUAGUCUGUGCCAAUUAUCCUUCUAAAAUGUCCAAUCGAGCCUUGGACGACCGAACCUCACCACUAGACUCCUGUUUGGAAGUUUCCUCACUUGAGUCCUCCUCAUGCAAGGAUUCCUCAUCCAUAGCCUCUUGUUCGACCGGAGGCUCCAGCUUUGGCAGAGGUUCUGUCUCCGUCUUGGCUCAUUUAUGCCCUGCCUUUGCCAUCUCCCAGCAAUCUGCCUCUAUCCUUCACUAGAACUGAGGAAAAGGCUCUGAUACCAAAUUGUAAGCCAUAAAUUUUUCCUUUCCAAUUUGCCAGCUUACCUUGUCUAUCUGACCAACACUGCUUUGGCUUUUGCUAAGUUCCCUCGCCAAGGUUCCCGCCUAUGGUACUAGCUCCUACUUGGUCUUAGCUACUCACUACAUGAGCAACAGAGCAUUAGCCAUCCAUCCACGGAUUCCUAAAUCUCUCCCAAUCCCUCUCCCCAAGUUAGACUGGACUUAAGGUUCGGCUACACUCCCGCAGGCAUAAGCAGGCAAGCACACCAAGCCUCCAAGUUCCUAACAUCCCUUGGUACAACAAGACUUGAUCAUGGGACCCUCUAAAUCCCAAACCCCUAGGAAGGGCAAGGACCAAUAAGCCACUAGGUACUCAAGUGGGGCACCACUCCAUAUGAGCCGAGAGCACCGCAGUCGGUUUCCUUUUCGGGAGUGGGGGCUACUCUUGAGCACUUCCUUGGGUGGCCCCUCUGGCACCACUCGAGUCCAUACUCACUCCCACCCAAGGCCCCUUAGCCCCAAUCUCAACCUCAAGCUAGUUUGGAAGCACCACUGGAGAGUUCCUUUAAGACUGGUUCCUAGACCUCACUAUCCCUACUAUACUUUUGGAACCCCCUGCAGCCCCCCCUCCUGGGAGACGCAUGCUUUGGGAUUUCACCCCUUGACCUAUAUUAGUACUCGGACUCGGUCUCGGACUCAAUCUCAAACCCGACUUCGGAUUCGGUCUCGGACUCAAUCUCGGACUCGACCUCGGACUCAGUCUCGGACCCGAUCUCAGAUCUCGGACUCUGUCUUGAACUCGGUCUCGAACUCGGUCUCCGAGUCAGCCUCGGACUCGAUUCCGGACUCUAUCUCGAACUCAGUCUCAGAGUUUGUCUUGGACUCGAUCUCAGAUUCGGUCCCAUCCGAUGAACUCUUUGUUAUUUUGGUCAUGCUUUCAGAGAUCCUUUAGCCUACAACACUUCAGGGAGUUGGUUCCUUACAAGUACUUGUGUGUCUAUAUUUCUGUCUUUACCAUCUCAAAAACUAUUUUAUAGUAGUCUUUUGGGUGUGUGAUAUUACAGUGUGCCGCAAGAGCAUAUAUACCUUCAUAUUGAUCGUCACCAUUGUUUCCACUAUAAGCCAGAAAACAUAUAAGGCAUUUUUUGAAAGUCACAGAAUUGCAAUUUUCUAAAACAAGUAGGAAGGCAUUCUAUUUCAUUCAAUUUAUUACACCUUUUGUUAUUACAUUUAUCUCUAACUCAUGAUCACUAUCCUCAUUAGUCUCUCUUUUUUUCUUUUAUAUAGUUUGGUUAUGCUGUGCAAUGGGAUAUCUAUUGCAUCUCCUAGCCCUUGAACCCUAGGAAAAAAGAUUGCAAGAGUUAAAAUUACUAGCAUUAGAACUUUAACAUAUUUAUGUAUAUUUCCCUCUCUUUGAAUAAAAGUGUGAGUGAAGAUCUAUAAAUUUUAAAUAAUAUGUUAUAACAAACCCCUCAAAAAUGUAUUCUAGAAAAGAGCUCAAUCUCUCUUUUAUAUGUAAUAAGAUUAUAUUAACAAUUUUUUUUUUUUCCUUUCAAAUGGUUGUAUGGCCUUAUAUAGAACCUUAUUUCAAAUUUAAUAAUUUUAAAAUUCUAACACACUCUACAUUUAGUAGCUAGAAAGUACAAAGUAUAGAUUUAAGGAACUGACAAGGAUCCUUUUUCUGCAAACAUCUUAAUUUAUGUUCUAACAAACAUCUCUAUUAUGGCAUGUAGUAAAUAUUUAAAUUGUUAGAAACAAGAAGUGUCCUUUAGAACAUUUUUAUCUAUAUAAUGUAUAGAGUUAUGAAAUUGUUAAGUUCACUACAACCUUAAUAUUUUAAAUUUUAUGAUUUCUGUAUUAAACUACAACUAAAACUUGAGCUCAACUCUUCAAUUCGUGAGCUCAAGUAUAGUCUGUGCUCUUGACAUCUAUGGCAUGAACCUCUAGGUCCCAAGCAUAAGCAAUAGAAAGUAUUACACACAAGGAAGCAAUUUAGCCACAAGAGAAGAAAACGCUAACUCCCUUCUAGCAAAAUCCUUCAUUGACCAAGCAAGCUUUAGAUCUAGAGAUGGACCCAUCAAUGUUGAUUUACUGAAACAAUAUUAUAGAGAUCUGAAUUUAUCAACCAUCAUUGUUAUCCACUACUCUGAAUCAAGUUACUCUAUAGCUUCUUGUAAUGUGGACGAGUCACCUAGCAAUGUAAUAUUACUAGCUUGGUAUUGUAAUAUAUAUCUUUUAUUUCAACAAAGAUGUUUCAAUUUUGAGAAGAGAGUUGGAGACAUGAGUGAUAAAACCAAGACUAUUCCUAUAGAGAUGCAUAAAAGGCCAAUAAGAAAAGGUAAGGCAAUUAAAUUUAUUAGUAGUAGGGUAAAAUAAGCUUGGCUCAAAUGCUUAAGUGUGAGAUUCUCUCCAUAAAGUACAUUAUUGUGUUUGCAAAAGAGUACAAAUCAAAACAAAAGGUGAAGAGUACACAAUUACCAUUCAAAACUUUCCUUUUUGCAUAUGUUUAAACUUUAUGAAGCAUGAGGAAUAUAGAAAGGUAUAUACUCCUUGCAAGCAUAUGUACUACAUUUUUAUCAACACCUUACACCAAGAUCCUAAAGUGGACAUUCAUAUAUACUAAGCAAACUUUAUUAUUGCUAAAUUGCAAAAGACUUUUGAAGCUAAUUAGAUUUGCUAAAACUACAAAUGUUUAUUCUCUAUCAAUAAUAUAAACUUAUUGUACUUUAAAUAAUUAAUAAUUAAAUAUUUUUUCAUUUCAUUUAUGUGUUCUUUUCGAAAUACUUCUCAUAGUACUUAUGUGUCUCUAUUUUUGUCUUUACCAUCUCAAAAAAUAUUUCAUGGUAGUCUUUCGAGUGUGUGAUAUUACAGUAUGUUAUGAGAGCAUAUAUACCUAUAUGAUCAUCACCAUUGUUUCCACUAUAAACCAAAAAGCAUAAGACAUUUUUUGAAAGUCAUAAAAUUGCAAUUUUCUAAAACAAGUAGGAGGGCAUUUUGUUUCACCCAAUUUGUUACACCCUCUGUCAUUGCAUUUAUCUCCAACUCAUGAUCACUAUCCUCAUUAGUCUCUCUUUAUUUUUUUUAUAUAGUUUGGUUAUGCUAUGCAAUGAGAUAUCUAUUGCAUCUCCUAGCCCUUGAACCCUAGGAAGAAAGAUUGUAAGAGUUAAAAUUACAAGCAUUAGAACCCAAAAACAUUUAUGUAUAUUUCUCUCUCUUCAAAUGAAAGUGUGAGUGAAGAUCCAUAAAUUUAGAUAGUAUGCUAUGACAAACCCCUUGAGGGAACUUAUUCAAUUGCACUUGAAGUUGCAAAUGGAAGAACUUAACACCCCUCAAAAUGAAGAAAAGGAUUGUUGCAUAGAGACGAAAGUGGAUUAUUGGUUGAGCUUGAAGAUGAAGGUGGAAACUCAUAUAAGAGGCAUUUAGACUAAAAAUAAACUUCUUUUGAACCAUUACAACACACAAAAAGAAUUAAACUUUUCAACAAUAAAAAUUCUCUGAUUAAUAUACUAAAUUUUAAUAUCAGGAAUGAGGUUUUAUUAUGACAUGGCAAUAUAUUGAAUCUUAAUUGUCAGUCUUGGUAAUGGGACUACAUAUUAAUUACAACUUAUUGUUAUAAACAAGUGGCUAUAGGGUUCCAAAAGUUAAAAACUAGCACAUAAUUGAUAUGUAGCCUUAUUUUAUAUAGCUGGCCUCCAUAUAUAAUAAGAGCAAACUCAUACAAGCACGUAAGCAUGCCUUUUUACAAAAUUAUCCUUCAAUUUCAAAUAUAUAUAUAUAGAUUUAACUCUUUGAUUUAACCACAUCAUAUUUACUACACACUUAUGCUCCUUGCAAAAAUAUAAUAUAUCAAGAGGAAUAGGAUAUAUAUAAAAAAAAUUUAGUGGAUUACAAAAGCCAUAAAAAGCUCUAUAGAGUGGAUUUGUUGGUGUUUUCCGUUGUAUUGUUUAUUUUUUCACUUAUCUUGCUCUGGAAUACUAUUUUAGAAGUAAUAGAAGCAUUUUUAUCAAUAGUGAUUAUGGUUUUCACAUUCUUAGAUAAGUAAUAAGGACCAAGAAUGUAAUAUGGAGAUUAUGGUAGUGAAACAAAAUUAAUAUUCUCAUAUUUCUGUAUACUAAAGCUACUUACAGAUUUUUUAUCUUUCUUACUUCCCAUCUCUAUAAAACUAAAAAGNNNNNNNNNNNNNNNNNNNNNNNNNNNNNNNNNNNNNNNNNNNNNNNNNNNNNNNNNNNNNNNNNNNNNNNNNNNNNNNNNNNNNNNNNNNNNNNNNNNNUGUCAAAUGUCAAAAUAUACAAUAGAAAUUUUAGUUUCAUGCAAACUUCAAUAUUCCCAUUUUUAUUUGGGACCAAAACAGCUGAUUAUAACCAAAAUAUUAUAAAUGCAAAAAAUAACAACUCUGUGGGUUUAGAUGAACUUCUAAUUCUAAAACCUACUCAAUCAGUAUUUUAUUGUAUAGGUUGCAUUAAAAAUUAAAAGUUUUCUCCAUAAAUAGAUUAAAAAAAUAGAAAGUUCUCUGAAUCAUUGACAAUUAAAUUCAUGAAUUUCAAGUUCAUCAAAGAAUAAUAUUUAUUGACAUUUCUUUAUAACAUUUAUGGUUGACUAUGUUGACUAGCAUUAACUUGAGCUAAAUUUAGUUCAACUCAAGUUUGGACCAUCCAUGUGCUGGGUAUCCAAGGGUAUUAAAAAUGUAUAUGUUGGUGAGGAAGCAUUUCUUUUAGCCUAGGAUGAAAUCAGAUAUUGAGAAGUACACACAUGGUUGUUUAACUUGCUAGGUAAUCAAAGUUGAAUAUCUCUAUCAUUCUUUAUGUGUAAGCCCAUAGCUAGACAUCACCAUAAAUAGAGACAUACCAAUAUCUAAUUAAUAAGUGUUAUUGUGAGCAAAUUGAAGUAAAGGCAAAUACUUCUCCUAUACUCCUUGUCAAGUCAAGUUUCCUAUAAAAGACUUUAGCAUAUCUUCUAACAUUUGAUUCAUGCAUUCUGUCUAUCCAUCUGAUUGUAGAUGCUCACCACUAUUUAUGCUUAACUUAAUUCCUAGCUUCUCAAAGAUUGUUUGCCAAAACUUGGACAUAAAUUUGGGAUCUUGAUCACUCAUAAUAUCACAUGGCAAACCACAAAGACUGAAUAACCAGUCUACAAAAACUAAGCAAGUUUAGAAGCUUUAAUCAUCAAUUUCAUUUUGAAAAAGUGAGCCAUCUUUGUCAAAUGAUCCACAACAACCUAAAUAACAUCAUUUUCUCGAAAGAUCUUAAGCAAACUAACGAUAAAGUCCAUCAAAAUGCUAUCCCACUUAUUCUUGGAUGAGGUCUCUCAUAAGUUUGAGUUUAGCUUUGGUUCAAGUACCUUAUGCUUGUAAUUUUUUAGAGGAUAUGCAAGACAAGCUUGAGUUAGCAAAACUGAACAUGAGACAAGUUCAACAUUGAGACAAAGAUUAGCUGAUAAGCAUUAUCAUCAUUAGGAGUACAAAGUUGGUGAUAAGCUUUUUUAGCUAUCAAGUGCACAAUGGUAUCUGAAAAAAGGUGGUAGUAUUGUGGGCUUUACACAAUUUUACAAAUAUUGGUUACAUUUUAGACUUCCCAACUAGUUCAAAGAUUCAUCUAACAUUCCAUGUGAGCAAGCUUAAAGCAUGUUUACACUCUAGUAAUGUCAUGGAUCAAUCCAUCAUCCAAAUCUCAGACAUUAAUCCUAAGAAGGCUGGUCCAGCCAAUAUUCUUGUUAAAAGAUUGGUAAAAACAUGUCAUAAGACAGUUUGGGAGUUUUUAAUUUAGUGGAAUCCAUGGAUGAAGUUAUAUAGGAAAUUAAGGAUGACAUAAAAAGAGUGUUUCUGAGUUUUGGUUAUGAUUUAGAUGACAUUCUUAUAGAAGGGGAAAAUUAAGUUUUAUAUUCAUAUUGUUAUAUAUUUUGAGUUGUUUGCUAUUCUUAUUCUCUUGUUUUCAUAACUGUAUUAUCAUGUGAAAAAACUAUAUUGCUUUCUUUCUUUCGUGGCUAUUUGUCACGACAUUAGUGUUGUUAUUUACACACCUUUUCUCCAUAACUAUAUUGCCUUGGACUCCCUUCAUAUGAGGCUUGUUUACUUCUUGAAGCUGCCAUUCAUGGCUAGGUCAUGAAGGAGGGGAGAAUAACACAGACCAAGAAAUAUUCUAACAAUAUUCCUUGACCUGUGCCAUAACACUUUUAAAGGUUGGAAGGUUGGCAUAGGGUUCACUCCUUGUUCAUUUCAUGGAUGUUCUUGUGAAGAGUGCUAGAGCUCCUAUUACUCCAUCCACACAACAUGGCACUUUGCCCACAACAAGAUGCUGUUUAGAGAAUGUAAUUAUGCUCACAUUACAGUAAUUCCAUGUAUAUGUACCAUCUAUAUACAAUUGAAUACAUAGAGAGAAAGUCCUUCCUCCUCGUGCGUGUCUCUCUGCUGCUAAUAUGGUAUCAGAGCAAUUGGCUCCUUGAUCCUAGGCAUGGCACUUGCUAGCCAGGAGCCAGUGACGAAAAGAAGGAUGAUCCUUCUGAUUGCAAUCCCUUUUUGCAAAGUGUUGAAGGCUUUUGUUGGAUGCGCUAGAUGCUUGAGGCAUUGCAUCAAGGCACCAGGCCGUGCAGAGGCACUGAGCAGCAAGCNNNNNNNNNNNNNNNNNNNNNNNNNNNNNNNNNNNNNNNNNNNNNNNNNNNNNNNNNNNNNNNNNNNNNNNNNNNNNNNNNNNNNNNNNNNNNNNNNNNNCAGACCACAUGCUAGUGACAAGAUUAAAGCCAUAGUAAGGAACAAAGAGUGUGCAAGCAAGUCCAAGACCAAAAGCCAAGUUUUGGGUAGUUGAUUGAUGAGUUUUUCAUAUGCUUUUCUCAUCACCUCUCCAUGCUCAUCAUCUCAGAAUAGCUAAGCAUGAUUCAUAGAUUCAGGCUUGGACCAGCCGCUUGGAGUAUCAGAGGUAGAGAUGAUAUGACAUGUAGUUAUGCCCAUGUGGCAGUAGUUCUAUGUAUAUGUACCAUCCAUAUACAAUUGAAUACAUAGAGAGAAAGUUCUUCCUCCUUGUGUGCGUCUCUCCGCUUCUAACAGAUGCCAUCAUGUGCAGCAUUGGUCCUGCAUCCGAGAAAUGCCAGGCAAUCCAGGCAUUGUAUUUCCUUUAGACCAUGGCAUACGAUGCUGAAGCUCUUGCUACAGCAAACAUUCGAUUGCCUAAGGAGUUUUUAUCUCUAAUUGUCAAUUGUAAUGUCCCUGAUAGGUGUCUCCAUUCCCUGACAAAUGACGGUAAGAUCCGGCAGGUCAUUUUCUUAAAAACAGAUGGAAGAAAAGCUGAAGCAUUGGUAAACAGAGACUACUUGGCAUUUCCACUAAUUUUCAGUGGUUUUAGCAGCCAGCAGAGGUGUCAAACUUGCACUACCAACUUCCAAAUUUUCUGUGCUCACAGACGAAGAUCGAGGCCGUCACAACCUGUGAUUGCAAGGUAACAAGUAUCCUUUUUGGAAUUCUUCAAAAUCGGGACAGGAAGUCGUGGAUAGGAUUUGAGAAGUUCUAGUUUCUUCUCGACAAGUAUGGUGAAAAUCAAAAUGCGCUUUUAUGCUCGAAAAGAUGCUUCUAGAGAAGCCCCAUAGCUGGUUCACUACUCUGGUUAGGCCUUUGUAACAUGUUGGGGAGCUUGGAUGUUGUAUAUCCGUAGCUUUCAGUCCCAACCAGCGAACACCUUGUUCCUACAGCAACAUAUAUGUGGCACCUCUUACAUUCUAUUUCGUUUCACUGGUUUAUGGACCGCAUGAGAAUCUCACACUCUGCGAUGGUGUCACCUGCCCCAAAUCACAGACGGUCACAUUCGAUUGAACUCUGCGUGCAGUGCCAAGACAAUCGGGCAGAUCAUAGAAAAAUGCGGCUUGACCCAAGUAUGUGAAGCGAUAGAAGAGUGGAGUGGCCACACAUAUCGAGGUGCAAGGAUUGGGCUGGGCCGUGUAACUCACUCCUGGGUCUUGGCAACCUGGGAGCAUGUAAACAUCGAGCUUGCUGUUCCCAUCAACUUGAGUGAUUAAGAUUGCUCCCAUUGUAAUCACUGCCAUGAUCUUCAAGAGCUUGAGUGCCUGAUCAGAGAUGUUAUUUAGGUAAUACUUUGCAAGGUGUAGCCAAACCAUUUCUCCAAGGAUGGAUUGCAAUUGACGAACUAGUGUUCUCUUUCUAUAGGAGUUGAAGUGCUCGUAUGUCGCAGGGUAAUUCAUUAUAAUUUAUAACAAUUGGAUGCAUGAUCUAAUUCGUGCUCCGCGAGGAUGUUUUGUUUUUUGUAAAGUCUGUUCAGCUAUACACCAGACUACUGUAUAGUGUGGUGUAAGUAAUAUGAGAAAAAAAAUCCUUGCGGAGCGCGUGACGAUCGUGCAUCCAAAUUGCCAUAAAUUAUACUUGAGAAACUAAUCCUCGCGACCCACGAGCACUUCAAACUCUUAUGAAGAAGACAACACUAGUUCAACUCCUCAUCCUAGCUUUCCAGAAGCCUGUUGCUAAGGAGCAAUGGUUCAUAGAAGCAUUAAUUCAUCCAUUCUCAAGCCUUUUUGUUAAACACAGGAAGUUCAGUUCUCGCGUCAUCAAGGGAACAGUAGCCUGGAUGUUUAUCUACUGGGUUGCCAGGAUCCUGGAGUAAGCUGCGGGGCAGGAACACCAGCCCUACAUGCUCCAAUUUGUGCAUGCCUGCCAUUUCUGCUGGCUAUAGAUUCACGUUUGAUGGACAGUUCGGUCUCCUCUUCAGCCAGCCCAACUGCAUGGGCUCAACUACGCGCUUGACUUCCACCCAAGAAGUUUGUGCAGUGGGGAGCUCUAGCCCAAUCAAGUCAUUCAAGUUUGUGUGUUAGUCUUUAUUCUUUAUGAGAGAGUAUGCUCAAAACAUUUCUUUGUUGUGAUCUAUCUUUAGUUUUGCAACAAAUGUGACAUUGUUGCAUUCUUGUGAAAGAGCUCCAGACCAACUCUCCAUGCUCUAUGUAGCCUUAGAUCAUUUUAGUGCACGCAUAAUAAUGUUGUAGUUGGUGAUGUCAAAAACUCUUUAGUCGCAAGCUGCUUGUUGAGUCAAGCUUUCCUAACCAAGUAUGAGAAUGGAACCAUUUCAUGGAAGAUUCGGCGCCAAAAAGUUGUUUCCCGUGAGUUUACAGUCCGAACAAAGACGAGCAACGGUGACUUCAGGAGAUGAGAUACCUCACAGUCAUAGAGAGUCAUGAUCGUAGAGGUUAUCACUCUCCAGUCGCGAGAAUCGCAUUAUUACAGAACACGACGGGAAUCCUGGAUCCCGCUAACAAGAUAUAUGUGCCACGACUGUUCCUUAUAUUCUAUUUCGUUUCACUGCUUCAUGGGCUGCAUGUGAAUCUCACACUCUGCAAUGGUCUCACCUGCGCCGCAUCACAGAGUGACACAUUCGAUCGAACUGUGGUUGGAGUGCCAGAACAAUUGGGCAGGUCAUAGAAAAGUGCAGCUUGGCCCAAGUAUGUGAAGCGAUAGAAGAGUGGAGUGGCCACACAUACCGCCGUGCAAGGAUUGGGCUGGGCCGUGUAGCUCACUCCUGGGUCUUGGCAACCCGGGAGCACGUAAACAUCGAGCUUGCUGUUUCCAUCAACAUGAGUAAUUGAGAUAGCUUCCAUUGUAAUCACCACCAACACUGCUGCCAUGAUCUUCAAGAGCUUGAGUGCCUGAUAAAAGGCAAAGAGACUUUAAUAGGUUUAGUACUUUGCAAAGUGUAAGCCAGACCAUUUCUCCAAGGAUGAACUAUAAUUGAAGAACGGGACUUCUCUUU
rnacentral:lncRNA from 1 species